GACACGGAAGAGGUGGAUCGUGCUGGAUACGGUCGCGUACAGCAAGAGCAGAGACCGAAGAUUUGUUUUGAGAAAAAAAAAAAAGAGGACCGAGUCCUCACGUGCCACGCAAGGCAGCCAGAUCGAAUCGGCAAGCAGUAAUUCCGUUGAUACUUACGCGUCCAUCAGGAAGCUUUGGAAGCAACUAGCCAGCAUUGGAGAUUGAGCCAAGAGACACCACGUGAAGGCCAUUUUUUGGUUGGAUUUGCUACCAUGCACGCUCUGUGUACUUGUGCAUCGUGGUAAGAAUCUUAGUUAUUUUUUCACAGCGUCAGGCAUACAAAGAACCAUAGCGUCAACGGAUACUAGGUUUGAGGUGAAGAUGUUCAACGGGACUGGAAACUUUGGGUUAUGGCAGACAAGUGUGAAAAUUUGUUGGCACGACAGUGAUGAUUGAAGGCGUUGCGGGAAGUCAAUUCAGCUAGGAUGGAGUUGUGAUGUGAUGGAUGGAAAUUUGCGGAAGACGAUUUGGGAGCCUUGAAGCGUGUCGUUACAGUCGAACAAAUUCGGCUGGGUCGGACUAGACAGUCUGAUGGAUCGACUUGGAUGUCGGUUGGUACAGAAAACGGUGGUGGGAUCGGCGACGACGAGAUAGGAGCGUAAUGCUGAUGGUGACCGACUUCUGGGGCGUGGAAACACGCGGCACAUGCCCGAGGCUUGUGUGGCUUCGACAAGACUAUGGCGCAGGAUCGAUUCAAGACGGUGCACAUGAGAGCUUGAAGUCGACGGGGCGCGGGGUGGACUGAUCAUCUACCAUGGAGUCAUGUUGAAGGUGGAGCUGGAUUGAGGGGCUGCGAUGUAAUGAUCCAGGGAAUCAAAGCCUAUUCAGCAAGGGGGAAAAGCGAGUGGCACGCAGUUCGAACUGGAGCCCAGUGGUCUGAUGGAAGCGUGAAACUCGUCAUCGGUCGGUGAUGAUCGAUGGUACUAUGCAGUGGGGUUGAGUGGUGUGGUUUCGCGACCCUUGAGACUCGACGGGGACAGCGGAGGUUCGACGCAGUAAUAGCGGCGAGGCGUGCGGUACGCAUGGGACAUGGAGAUGGGCCAGGGCUCUGGUGGUCAUACAUGUGGUGAGACAACUGCGAAUUUGACUCGGGAUGACUACAAGCAAUGGUGAAAUUCCUUCAAGUUUCAGACAGGCUGUCAAGAAAGGAGCGGUGAUGUUGAGUUCAGGUAACUCUUAUGUGUGACAUCUAAUAUGUGAGUUGUUCACUUUCACACGGAUCAGUGAUUAAUGUGUGAUGGCGUUGGACGGAUACUCUGGAAGUUGGGAGCGCAAACUAGAGUAAUAUGGAACUUAAUUUCGUUCGAGUGUUGACUCUGGUCAAGAAAAAAAGGGACUACAAGUUGCAGGUGGAGUCAUAUGAAGUCUUUGGAGUAGCAGUGGUACUCAUGGGAUAAACUCAAAUCCAAUGUACAUGAAAGUUUGACGCAUUGACGAAUUCAAGGUGAUGGAGAAUAUUCGCCAAGGUGGAGUUUGUUAGAGUUGUGUCAAAUAUUGUGUACAGGGUAGGUUACAGUUGGACUCUGAGUAAUAUUGUGUUUAGAUAGGAUAUGGAGUCGUGUCCUAAUAGGACACUUGUAUCCUAGGCCUCUCAUAUAUAGCGGGGGUAAACACACGAUAUAACCUAUAUCAACAUAAUAGCACCGGAACGCAGGGGAAGCCAGCGGCAUGUGCCGGUGUCCAGGGUAACCGGGUGCGGUAUUGUAGCGGUGUCAUGGGGAGGAGCGUCCAUAGUCAGGCCCCGGGGAUGUAGCCAUAUCGGUGAACCUCGUUAACAAAUCUCGGUGUGGUGCUCGUGCGAUUGCUUGGUCCUUGAAUAAUUAACGGUAUGCCUCGUAUUUAUUCUAACAAUACUAGUAUGCGUGCACGCGCAAUGCGCGUCUUUACGUUGCAAAGUGAUUUCGGUGAAAAUAAGUCAUGAAAAUGCCUGGAGAAAUGAUUCAAGACAAAUGACCAUUGUGCAUGUAUGAAAGCAUAAAGAAAAUAAUAGAAAUUAGCAUAAGAAAGCUUGUCACGUUCUUACGACAGUAACUAUCACAUGAAUAUGUAAUUUGCAAAAAAAUUAAAGUCCCAAUUGCGGAAAAUAUAUAAAUGAACCAGGGUAUAUAUGAACUCGCCUUGGAAACACAUUUCUAAAUCCUCAAAAAAAAUUAAAAAAGCUGCACGCGCACAUCUCCAUGUUCUAUCCCUGCACAGAAACUUUCACGGAAAAACAUUUUUUUUGCAUAUGCAAAAAAGACAAAACAACAUGUCGUAAAAUGUUACUUAGAAGCACUGAAAUUUGUCUUUUAUGCGGAGGCAAAAUAAAAAAAUAUUUUUUCGUAAAACUUUGUAUCGCGCAUAUAUAUUGCGAAGAUGUAUGCAUGAAAUUUUAUUUGGUAUUUUUUCACAUUUUAACACACGUUCAAAAUCCAUUUUUUUAAAACAGGUUCAUAUGUAUGUACGUACUUAGGUUUAGGUAGUGCCUCCUCUACCUAUGGCUAUGUUUUACUGUAACUUUCCACCCAAAAUUGCACGUGAGACAGGUUCAUAUGUGCGCUAUGCACUGGUUUGUUUUGUUUACCUUUUAAUUUUUUAUUCUUAUUUUUCACCUUCUGUCAGACUUUUUUUAAGUUACCUCCUGUCAGACUUAGUGGUACAGAUCCCACUUGUGUCUGCAACCACACGUGCCACGUAGCUCUGCGGGCAUCUGUAGUAAAACAAUUUGCACUGCUCUAGGCGACUCGACUAUGGCAUGGUGUGACUUUGUUAGCUCCAAAGAACUGACAUGCAGUGGGGUCGCUACUCCGUGCUAAUACAAACUCCUAGAUGCUUAUAGAGUGACGCAGACAACACUGAUGCUACUGUAGCGGCGAAUCCCUGCAUUAUAAGCCGUCGGAUGGAGCCCAAUGAACGGCCAGGAAUGCAUUUUGAUGCAUGAAAUCAAACUUUCAAAACUGAUACGCUAUAUAGUAUAGUAUAGAUACAUUAUCUGUGUUGACUAGGUGCGUGGUUCCGCUGUCAGCGAGUGACCAAAAAGAAUGUUUUUUUUCGAAAACCCCCUCAACAAAAAAUAUUAUUUUGACAAAAAAAACAUAUGUAUGUGGCAUUUUACUUCUCUAUGCCCAGGGGGUCCCGCCUGAAAAUUUUAACAGAAAAAGAUUCAGGGCAGGUUUUGAACCCGCGUCCACAGGCUACCAAAACAACUGGCCAACCACUUAACCCUGCGAGUCGUCAAGGAAACGAUAACGGCAGCAUAAAUAUUUAGCAAUGACGCUUAUGGAGCUUAAAUGGGCUGGAGAUAUUGCAGCCCAUUUUGCACAAGCUAUACAACAACAACAACAACAACAAAGCCUUUAGUUCCAAACAAAUUGGGGUAGGCUAGAGGUGAAACCCAUAAGAUCUCGCAACCAACUCAUGGCUCUGGCACAUGGAUAGCAAGCUUCCACGCACCCCUGUCCAUAGCUAGCUCUUUGUCGAUACUCCAAUCCUUCAGGUCUCUCUUAACGGACUCCUCCCAUGUCAAAAUCGGUCGACCCCGUCCUCUCUUGACAUUCUCCGCACGCUUUAGCCGUCCGCUAUGCACUGGAGCUUCUGGAGGCCUGCGCUGAAUAUGCCCAAACCAUCUCAAACGAUGUUGGACAAGCUUCUCCUCAAUUGGUGCUACCCCAACUCUAUCUCGUAUAUCAUCAUUCCGGAUUCGAUCCUUCCUCGUGUGGCCACACAUCCAUCUCAACAUACGCAUCUCCGCCACACCUAACUGUUGAACAUGUCGCCUUUUAGUCGGCCAACACUCCGCGCCAUACAACAUUGCGGGUCGAACCGCCGUCCUGUAGAACUUGCCUUUUAGCUUUUGUGGCACUCUCUUGUCACAGAGAAUGUCAGAAGCUUGGCGCCACUUCAUCCAUCCGGCUUUGUUUCGAUGGUUCACAUCUUCAUCAAUACCCCCAUCCUCCUGCAACAUUGACCCCAAAUACCGAAAGGUGUCCUUCCGAGGUACCACCUGGCCAUCAAGGCUAACCUCCUCCUCCUCACAGCUAGUAGUACUGAAACCGCACAUCAUGUACUUGAUUUUAGUUCUACUAAGCCUAAACCCUUUCGAUUCCAAGGUUUGUCUCCAUAACUCUAACUUCUCAUUUUGCACAAGCUAUAUUUAUAAGAUAUUUUAAAACGGAAGUAAUAAAAAUUAUGUUCCAAUAUUUGUGUAUUAUCAAUAUUAUGUAAAUGAAAACAAUGAAAUAUAUACCCAUGUGUGUGUAAAUUAUUUAGUUAAUACGGAUAUUAAAAUGUAUAUUAGAUACAAUGUAUAAUGAAUACAAAGAAAGUAUAAACUCAUGGCUUAUAUUUAAUUUUAAAAUGAUGAAUACAAACAUUCACUUAAUAUCUAUAAUUAUUCACAUGUCUAUAUUUUUUACUCAUGACCUAUAUUUGAAAGCAGUAUAUAUUUUUAUAAUAGAAUAAUAUUUUAAAAUGUAAUUUUAAAAGAAAUUGUAUCAUUUUAAUUUUGUUAUACAUUUUUAUAAUUCAUAAAUAUUUUCAAUAUACCACUGUGUAUUGAAAUAAUACACGAAGAUAAGGUAUUUCGUUUGUAUGCUUGGUAGUUUUUAAAAUAAAUGUACCAACGUUUUGAAAAUAAUACAUGAACGUUUUUAUUUAAUAUACAUUUUAAAUUUCUGUAUUAACUAAAUAUUUUAUAUAGUACAUGGGUGUAUAUUUAAAUGUUUUUAUUUACUAGUCAUGGUUUGAUUGUAUAAAGUUUAUAGCACAUUUAAACAUAAUUUUGAUAACUUACAUUUUAUAAAUAUAUCUUUAAAAAACAGCGCGUGCAAAAUGGGCCGAAAUAUCUACAGCCCGUUUGAACUUUAGAUGCGUACCUGCUAAAUUCAUGUUGCUAAAACAAUUGGUGAAUACAUAUAGGAUAGUUAUCCAAUUAGAACGUCGUGACAUGGACAGCGUACUUGUUGUACUGGUUUACUCUCUAUACCUGGUUGCGUGUUCGAGUCUUGAUCUUGCCUUUUUCCUGUUUAUUUUGACCAGCGGGUACUUUUUUACAAAAAGAUAUAUUCUGAGGGGGGUUUCGGAAAAAAUCAGACCACCGGCCUUCUCCCUCAGGUCCAGUGGCUGACAGCCUGACCCACACGCCUAGUCAGCGCAGAAUCCGUAUAUCAACCCGAUUCGCACUGUAUUUGCACCUCCGAGUCAAGUUUUUGCACCACUUCAAUGUACAACACAACUUCUAGCACCAAAGUGGCCGUUUACGCCAAGUUCUAGCAUCACCAACGUAAUUGCCUCCUUUUAUUUUCUCAUUUCCUUUGACUCGCUGGCCAUGAAGAUUUGUUUGGACUUAUGUUGAGCGAGAUAGCUUGCUUGGGCGGUUGGGCCCUUGAUAGCUUGCUUGGACUUAUGUUAACCUCUUUGACUUGUGUUGACCGUCCAUGUGGAUGGCUAGGACAACCAGUAUAAUUUUAGCUAUUCUCCCUACAUGAGUGCUUUGUUGCUCACAACAAUUUUGCCAAAAUAUUCUCUCUUUGUCACUCUCAUCUAUACAUUUAGCUUGUUUUUCUAUCUUGUGCAUGUUGUUUGCCUAUUUCGUGGGCCCAUUUGUGGCAAUGUGAUUAUUUGUAAGAAAGUGAGCCUAGUUCAUGGGUGUAUAGUGAUCGCAUAGUCUAAUAAUCUAGACAGUAAUCACCGUGGACCUGCAUUUAUGUUCUUAUUUAUUACAUUAUGAGGGUCAUUCUAAAGAUUUCUAUCAGAAAUGUUGUAUAUUAAUAGGAAAUUUGAACACAUUUCCUUUUUUCCGAUUACUCGCAUAUUGUUUUGUUAGACUUGUAUCUUUUAUCACAACGGAAACGUUUAUUGCAUAGUACUUUAUCACAACUAAAACCAUUUCUUUUAUUGCAUCCUGGAACAUUGUUUUGCUUCCUUGUCAUGGUACAACCUAUGCAUGUAUCACACUGGAACUGAGCCGCCAAUCUUUCUUGCCAAGUGGCAUGUAUGUUUGUCACCAAGUUUUCAUACAUUUUUCCUAUAUUUUACAGUUUCAUUGUUGCCUCUAGGUACCAGCCAUGAACAUUGCUAGUUAGUGCCAACUGAAGUAUAAUCUAUUCAUCAUUGUCAUAUUCACGUUGGUGUACGCAUGUUGACUUCAUGGAAAUUAGACGGUUUGUAUUAUUUCAAUUUUAUUUUACAUUUAAUUUUAGGUAUCAUUCACGCAUGUAUCACACUGGAAUCAAUCUGCCCAUCUUUUGUUCCCAGUGUCAUGCAUUUGUGAUUGAUCCUUGGGAGGGUAACUCAUGAUCACCACUUCGCUCUUCUGAAGUUCAUCUUGAGACCACACAUAGCCUCAAAGUAUACGGGGGAAUUUGAGAUAGACAAUGACAGGUUUUGUUCCUUCUACCAUGAUCAAGUUGUUAUCAUGAACUUGAGGUGAUACCCUUCUUGAGACAAUUUUCCCAACCGCACCAAAGAUGUAACUAUAUAUCUUGGCCUUCUCCAAGAUAACUGGACAACAUCAACUACAAGGUUAACGAUAAGGGUGCCUUCGUCUCCAUGAUAGCUCAAAUAGCCUCCUCGGUUAAGAAUGGGAAGGUGAGAUUCGCAUUCUCGGUGGCUAAGACCUUGCCCCCCUCAUGCCAAUAGUCGUUGACCACUGAUCAAGGUUCUAAAAUGUCCUUGGACUUCUCCAGGAGGAAAUCGUCCAAACUAGAUGUUGCACUUUCUUUCACCUUCUCCCAUUCACAAUGGCAUGAAAGUAGGUGGUGUUGGCAUCACCCUUCAGAAGACAAUUCUGCCGGCUCUGCAGCUGCUAGAAUAUCUCCUCACCCUUGUAGAUUUCCAUAAGGGGGACCUCAAGGCACACUGCUGGAGCACUCUUCAUUAGGAAGACCAUAGGAGUCUAGGGGUUGAUCAAGGGCCCGGAUCUGACCAGGAAUGUCAUCCUUAUAGUGACACGGCAACCCCAACUUUUGCCCCGCAACAUCACAUAAAUUGACGUGAGACUUUAGAGCAUUGAUGCCAUAUAUCCACUACGCUAAAAAAAUACAUUGACAAUACACCUUCAUGAUAGAAGGUGCAGGUUUUUGUCAUCGAUUUGCGCUCAUGACAAAUCUAUGUUUGAGUCAAGAUGUCAUACUAUGGCCCAGUUCUUUUGCUAGAAUCCCUAGAUUCUCCCAGAAUCCGGCCCCUACCCAGCUUCUCCCAAAAUCUUUCAGCCUCAUUUGUUUUACAAUCCUAUCUAAUUAGACCCUAACUAGAUAGGAUUGUAAAACAAAUGAGGCUCAAAGAUUCUGAGAGAAGCUGGGUAGGGGUCGGAUUCUGCGAGAAUCCCCAGAUUCUGGCAAAAGAACUGGGCCUAUGUCGGUCAUAGAUCACUUCAAUGACAAAACUCGGUUUUUGUUAUUGAAGUGUGCUUUUCCAUGAGAAAAAUGUCUUGUCAUGGAAGUGUUUUUGUCCCGGGUGACCGGUUGACAUGGGAGAAGACUGGCACGUGGCAGCCGCUGUUAAUGGCGUCGUGAUUGUGUCGUUAGUCAACUUGUCAUCCUAUCCAUCAAAGUGUUGGUCCAACAGAGGCCUAUUAGAAUUUACUGGGUCAUCUCAUGUCGUUUGGCCCAUUUGUUCGGCCCAUUUUGGGACCAUAUGUAUUUGGGCAAAUCAAGGUCUACUAUGGUUGGCCUAAAUUGUUAAGGGUCAUACUGAUUAUAUACAAUUUUGGGACCAGACAAUGUUGGAGAACAUGGUACAAAACAAAAAAAAAUACCAUACUAACACACAAGAACAUUAUGAAGAUGAAUGGACAAGAUGGAUCUCACCAACACAAAGAGAGAUGAAGAUGUGCAAAGAUGGAUCCGAACUGGGUUUCUACGCUGCCGCUGAUCACAGCUAAUAAUGAAAUUGCACGACCACAACAACAACCUUAGGCUUGCGCGGAGACAAAGACGUGAAAAUUCCAGUCACAUGUUUCAUCCGCAAACAUCAGCAGUAAAAAGAAUUGUUAAGAAAAUCGAUAGUCACAUGUUUCAUCCGCAAACAACAUCAGCAGUAAAAAGCAUUGUUAAGGAAAUCGGUAACUGAUAGUUUCUCGGCCGGCUUGGGAGUAGCGAUUAAUCAGUGAAUCAGCCUAUUAUCUAGAUUGGAGUAGCGAUUAAUCAGUGAAUCAGCCUAUUAUCUAGAUUAAUCGGUAGAUUAAAUAGGAACCUACCAACAUUUCCAGGUAUUAUAUCAUACUCUCCAUUAUGUAAUAUACCAAAUAUGUAAUAAUUUGGUCGAACCCUAGCUAUUGAGUGAGAGGGGGAUUGGAGGGGUUACGGGCCAAAACUUUGGGUUGUGUUUGCCCCUAAGUUAAUGGGCCAACAACGAUUAAUCGAUCUCACGGUCUCACAGGCCAUCCUACGAGUAGCAAUUAACUGGCCCGUUAACUGAUUAAUAGGACGAAUUCUUGAACAGCGGUAAAAAGUACUCCCUCCAUUCCUCUUUAUAGUGCGCCUUUGGCUGGGGCACUUAUACCAAUGCAUGAGCUGGCGUCUUUUGUUUGGACAAGAAUUACCACUCCCCCUGCUUGGUCUGUCACGCACAUGGGUACCUGCUGCUGCACUGCCGUGAACCAGUUGAGGGUUAUUUCGUCCAAAACAGCUUCACAGCCCUUAUGCGCACUACAUAUCGGAAUCGAAGCCAAAAAACUAUACGCACUAGAAUCUGGAACGGAGGGAGUACUAAAUCCCAGCUACAGGGCCAUUGGCAGGGCAUAAGCAGCAAUGCCACUGUUGCCUAAACAGCGUUGGGCCAAUUCUGAAAUCAAAUUGGCUAAACAUACCUAGAUACUGAACCAGCCCACUGAUUACGUCGGCACUUGUAAAGUAAUCCUAUCACAUCCCAAGAGAACAGCAAAACUCACCUACAUCUACAAUUUGUAAACCAAUAGACAUAUGGCACGGUAGACCCAACCAAUAUUACCACCAAAGGUAGGCAAUGGUGAAUGCUGAUCACACACAAAACUGAUGGUUAAACCACAAGGCAGGACUAUGCUCCACGCUAGCAAUCAUCGAACUGCCACCGUCUACAGCCAAGGUAACUGACUACAUGUACUCACAGUUUCAGACACAUCUAUGUAUGAACCAACAAAUAUAUCUAGAACAUACCAACCACACGAUCGCUUGGAAUGAACUGAAUUCUAAUUGCAAGUGACAAAGAUCACACACCUCAAAGAAUCAACACAUAAGAGCAAUAGCAAAAUAUUCAUCAACAUGUAAGACCUGCAUAGCUAUUGGCUAAUCUAGAAACACCUGCAAUAACAUGUUAUAAGCUCAAGAACACAUGUAUCAACAGGAUACAUCUCUCCGUGAUCACACCACCUUAUUAAGAUCAACAAAGCAUAGAAUACGGACAUGGAAUAGAUUAAAAGCAUUUAGACUGAUAGCAUACGGACACCAAAAUUUAAGCACGCAUCGCGUUACAGCAGUAGGCGAUGAAAUAUUCAGGAAACAUAAGACUCAAGGUUUCAGUUUAAACGACAAACGGGACACAUCUAAGUGAGUUCGACUCUCGAUAGGUAGAGUAAAAGAGCAGAGCAAUCGCAAGCAACCUCUAAGCCUUCUGGUUGUAGACGUAGGUGAGGCCGCACUUGCCGCAGUAGUGGCGGUCGAAGUGGUUGGCCAUGAAGGUGCCCGCGCCGCAGUCGGCGUUGGGGCACUCCUUCCUGAGCCUGGUCACCUUGCCGGUGGCGUCGUCGACCUUGUAGAACUGGAGGACGGCGAGCUUCACCUUCUUGUGCUUGUGCUUUUGCUUCUUGGGCUUGGUGUAGGUCUUCUUCUUGCGCUUCUUGGCGCCGCCGCGGAGGCGGAGCACCAGGUGGAGGGUGGACUCCUUCUGGAUGUUGUAGUCGGCGAGGGUGCGGCCGUCCUCGAGCUGCUUACCGGCGAAGAUGAGGCGCUGCUGGUCCGGCGGGAUGCCCUCCUUGUCCUGGAUCUUGGCCUUGACGUUGUCGAUGGUGUCCGAGGACUCCACCUCCAGCGUGAUGGUCUUGCCCGUCAGGGUCUUCACGAAGAUCUGCAUCUUGGCGGCGGUGGGAGGUCGCCUCCGCGCGCUGCGGCGGCGACGGCGGCGGCGGGGUAGGGUUUGGGUUGGGGUGCGGAGUGGAGGCUAGGGUUUGGGAGGCCUGGAGCAGUCUGGCUUUAUAAGGAGAAUGGGCGUCUGGGCUCCCUCCGUGGACGGUACUUUUGGGCUGGGUGUGGAUUGACUAGGCUUGGGUGGCCCAUUUCAUGUGGGCUUUGGCUCCAAGAUUUCCACUGUCAAUCAGUUCACUAAAAAAAAGUUCAUUUUAUUGUCCUCAAAGAAAAAUAUCUCCAUUCUCAAAACAAGAAAGAAGAAAAAUAUCUCCGUACAGACGCCAAGAAGUUCACUAAAGGGGGAUUCAUUUCUACUGUAUUUCCUAAAGGAAAAAAAAGGUAUCAUUUCUCGGACAGGAGUUGAUUUCUCGCAAUUGUGCUCCAACGCUGACCCGUAAACUGAACACUGCAUUUGUCCGAGGAAUGCAUGGGGGGCUACCGUGGACAUGGGUGGGGGAGCCAGUCAUCCAAUGCUAGCCACUAUAUGUCCACCAAUAAAAGGCAAUUUGAAAUUCAAAUAUGUUUGAUCCGUAGUGUGUGUCGGGUCACAUCAUCGGACGAUCACUACCAAAAAAAGACUAAGGAUGCUUAAUUUUUACAUGCCCGAUCACGAAAGAAUAAUAGUAUGGCAGUCCAUGCAUUUUGUCUUGCCGGAUCGUCAAUCCGAGCCUCUACGUUCAAUUUGUCGUUGCCGCCAUGUAGGCCGCCUCCGCUUCGGCAUCCGCCUACUUCUCUACCGCCUCGAUCUCCUCCUGCUCCGUCCUCUCCAUAUCAUUCUUCUGCCGCUGCAACGUCUUGAAGCGGGCGGCUUGCACAAUCAUUCUUGCAUCGUCAUUCAAUUAUGUCACCUUGAAGGUGAGCAUCUUCGUGUCCUCCAAAGCGGCCGCGGUCUCCACCUUCUUCUGCUGGAGUUUGGCCUUCUUCUAUUCAAUCAUCGCCCUCUUCCGUUCAAGCUUGAAUUUCUUCUCGAUCGCCUUCAUUGACAAGUCAAAUUUCUCUGCUUUUUUCCACCUUAAUGUCAGAGCGCUUGAUGUAUGCCUCCUCCUUGUUCAUCAAGAUGUCUUCAAACCUAUUUAUCAUCUUGGCCGUCACACUUUCUCGCUUUGCCUUCUCCUGUUGGGGAACGUAGUAGAAUUUUAAAAUUUUCUACGCAUCACCAAGAUCAAUCUAUGGAGUUAUCUAGCAACGAGGGAGAGAGGAGUGCAUCUACAUAACCUUGUAGAUCACGAGCGGAAGCAUUCAAGAGAACGGGGUUGAUGGAGUCGUACUCGACGUGAUUCAAAUCACCGAUGACCUAGUGCCGAACAGACGGCACCUCCGCGUUCAACACACAUACGGUUGGGAGACGUCUCCUCCUUCUUGAUCCAGCAAGGGGGAAGGAGAGGUUGAUGAAGAUCCGGCUGCACGACGACGUGGUGGUGGAAGCAACGGUGAUCUCGGCAGGGCUUCGCCAAGCGCUGGGAGACGGAGGAGUGUCACGGGAGGGAGAGGAAGAGGCCAGGGGCUUGAGUGCGCAGCCCUCCCCCCCCCCCCCCCUAUAUAUAGGGUGCCUAGGGGGGGCGGCCCUAGGAGAUCCAAUCUCCUAGGGGGGCGACGGCCAAGGGGGUGCCUUGCCCCCCAAGGCAAGGGCGGCGCCCCCACCCCUAGGGUUUCUAACCCUAGGCGCAUGGGGAGGCCCAAGUGGGGGGGCGCACCAGCCCACUAGGGGCUGGUUCCCCUCCCACUUCAGCCCAUGGGGCCCUCCGGGAUAGGUGGCCCCACCCGGUGGACCCCCGGGACCCUUCCGGUGGUCCCGGUACAAUACCGGUGACCCCGAAACCUUCCCGAUGACCGAAAUGGACUUCCUAUAUAUAAAUCUUUACCUCUGGACCAUUCCGGAACUCCUCGUGACGUCCGGGAUCUCAUCCGGGACUCCGAACAACUUUUCGGGUUAUCGUGUGCUAAUAUCUCUACAACCCUAGCGUCAUCGAACCUUAAGUGUGUAGACCCUACGGGUUCGGGAGACAUGCAGACAUGACCGAGAAGCCUCUCCGGUCAAUAACCAACAGCGGGAUCUGGAUACCCAUGUUGGCUCCCACAAGCUCCACGAUGAUCUCAUCGGAUGAACCACGAUGUCGAGGAUUCAAUCAAUCCGUAUACAAUUCCCUUUGUCAAUCGGUACGUUACUUGCCCGAGACUCGAUCGUCGGUAUCCCAAUACCUAGUUCAGUCUCGUUACCGGCAAGUCACUUUACUCGUACCGUAAUGCAUGAUCCCGUGAUCAAUCACUUGAUCACUUUGAGCUCAUUAUGAUGAUGCAUUACCGAGUGGGCCCAGAGAUACCUCUCCGUCAUACGGAGUGACAAAUCCCAAUCUCGAUUCGUGCCAACCCAACAGACACUUUCGGAGAUACCUGUAAUGUACCUUUAUAGUCACCCAGUUACGUUGUGACGUUUGGCACACCCAAGGCACUCCUACGGUAUCCGGGAGUUGCACAAUCUCAUGGUCUAAGGAAAUGAUACUUGACAUUCAGAAAAGCUACGGCAAACGAACUACACGAUCUUUGAGCUAAGCUUAGGAUUGGGUCUUGUCCAUCACAUCAUUCUCCUAAUGAUGUGAUCCCGUUAUCAAUGACAUCUAAUGUCCAUAGUCAGGAAACCAUGACUAUCCUUUGAUCAACGGGCUAGUCAACUAGAGGCUCACUAGGGGCGUGUUGUGGUCUAUGUAUUCACAUAUGUAUUACGAUUUCCGGAUAACACAAUUAUAGCAUGAACAAUAGACAAUUAUCAUGAACAAAGAAAUAUAAUAAUAACCAUUUUAUUAUUGCCUCUAGGGCAUAUUUCCAACAGUCUCCCACUUGCACUAGAGUCAAUAUUCUAGUUACAUUGUGAUGAAUCGAACACCCAUGCAGUUCUAGUGUUGAUCAUGUUUUGCUCUAGGGAGUGGUUUAGUCAACGGAUCGGCUACAUUCAGGUCCGUAUGUACUUUACAAAUCUCUAUGUCUCCAUUUUGAACACUUUCACGAAUGGAGUUGAAGCGACGCUUGAUAUGCCUGGUCUUCCUGUAAAACCUGGGCUCCUUGGCAAGGGCAAUAGCUCCAGUGUUGUCACAGAAGAGAGUCAUCGGGACCGACGCAUUGGGUAUGACUCCUAGGUCCGUAAUGAACUCCUUCACCCAGACUGCUUCAUGUGCUGCCUCCGAGGCUGCCAUGUACUCCGCUUCACAUGUAGAUCCCGCCACAACGCUUUGCUUGCAACUGCACCAGCUUACUGCCCCACCAUUCAAAAUAUACACGUAUCCGGUUUGUGACUUAGAGUCAUCCAGAUCUGUGUCGAAGCUAGCAUCGACGUAACCCUUUACGACGAGCUCUUCAUCACCUCCAUAAAUGAGAAACAUUUCCUUAGUCCUUUUUAGGUACUUCAGGAUAUUCUUGACCGCUGUCCAGUGUUCCAUGCCGGGAUUACUUUGGUACCUUCCUACCAAACUUACGGCAAGGUUUACAUCAGGUCUGGUACACAGCAUAGCAUACAUGAUAGACCCUAUGGCCGAGGCAUAGGGGAUGACACUCAUCUUUUCUCUAUCUUCUGCUGUGGUCGGGCAUUGAGCCGUGCUCAAUCUCGUACCUUGCAAUACAGGAAAGAACCCCUUCUUUGACUGAUUCAUUUUGAACUUCUUCAAUAUCUUGUCAAGGUACGUACUCUGUGAAAGACCAAUGAGGCGUCUCGAUAUAUCUCUAUAGAUCUUGAUGCCUAAUAUAUAAGCAGCUUCUCCAAGGUCCUUCAUUGAAAAACACUUGUUCAAGUAGGCCUUUAUGCUUUCCAAGAAUUCUAUAUCAUUUCCCAUCAACAGUAUGUCAUCCACAUACAAUAUGAGAAAUGCUACAGAGCUCCCACUCACUUUCUUGUAAAUGCAGGCUUCUCCAUAAGUCUGCAUAAACCCAAACGCUUUGAUCAUCUCAUCAAAGCGAAUGUUCCAACUCCGAGAUGCUUGCACCAGCCCAUAAAUCGAGCGUUGGAGCUUGCACACCUUGUCAGCAUUCUUAGGAUCGACAAAACCUUCUGGCUGCAUCAUAUACAAUUCUUCCUUAAGGAAACCAUUAAGGAAUGCCGUUUUGACGUCCAUUUGCCAUAUCUCAUAAUCAUAGAAUGCGGCAAUUGCUAACAUGAUUCGGACGGACUUCAGCUUCGCUACGGGUGAGAAAGUCUCAUCGUAGUCAACCCCUUGAACUUGCCGAUAACCCUUAGCGACAAGCCGAGCUUUAUAGAUGGUCACAUUACCAUCCGCGUCUGUCUUCUUCUUAAAGAUCCAUUUAUUUUCUAUGACUCGCCGAUCAACGGGCAAGUCAGUCAAAGUCCAUACUUCGUUUUCAUACAUGGAUCCUAUCUCGGAUUUCAUGGCUUCCAGCCAUUUGUCGGAAUCCGGGCCCGCCAUCGCUUCUUCAUAGUUCGAAGGUUCACCGUUGUCUAACAACAUGAUUUCCAAGACAGGGUUGCCGUACCACUCUGGUGCGGAACGUGUCCUUGUGGACCUACGAAGUUCAGUAGCAACUUGAUCUGAAGUUUCAUGAUCAUCAUCAUCAACUUCCUCUCUAGUCGGUGCAGGCACCUCAGGAACAUUUUCUUGAGAUGCGCCACUUACCGGUUCAAGAGGUAAUACUUCAUCAAGUUCUACCUUCCUCCCACUUAUUUCUUUCGAGAGAAACUCUUUCCCUGGAAAGGACCCAUUCUUGGCAACAAAGAUCUUGCCUUCGGAUCUGAGGUAGAAGGUAUACCCAAUAGUUUCUUUAGGGUAUCCUAUGAAGACGCAUUUUUCCGACUUGGGUUCGAGCUUUUCAGGUUGAAGUUUCUUGACAUAAGCAUCGCAUCCCCAAACUUUUAGAAACGACAGUUUAGGUUUCUUCCCAAACCAUAAUUCAUACGGUGUCGUCUCAACGGAUUUCGAUGGAGCCCUAUUUAAAGUGAAUGCGGCAGUCUGUAAAGCAUAGCCCCAAAAUGAUAGCGGUAAAUCGGUAAGAGACAUCAUAGAUCGCACCAUAUCUAAUAGAGUGCGAUUAUGACGUACAGACACACCAUUACGCUGAGGUGUUCCAGGCGGCAUUAGUUGUGAAACUAUUCCACAUUUUCUUAAGUGUGUGCCAAAUUCAUGACUCAAGUAUUCUCCCCCAUGAUCUGAUCGCAAGAACUUGAUUUUCCUGUCACGUUGAUUCUCAACCUCACUCUGAAAUUCCUUGAACUUUUCAAAGGUCUCAGACUUGUGUUUCACUAAGUAGAAUUACCCAUAUCUAGUCAAGUCAUCGGUGAGGGUGAGAACAUAACGAUAGCCACCGCGAGCCUCAACACUCAUUGGACCGCAUACAUCAGUAUGUAUGAUUUCCAAUAAGUUGGUUGCUCGCUCCAUUGUUCCUGAGAAUGGAGUCUUGGUCAUUUUACCCAUGAGGCAUGGUUCGCACGUGUCAAAUGAUUCGUAAUCAAGAGACUCUAAAAGUCCAUCUGCAUGGAGCUUCUUCAUGUGUUUGACACCUAUGUGACCAAGGCGGCAGUGCCACAAGUAUGUGGGACUAUCAUUAUCAACCUUACAUCUUUUGGUAUUCACACUAUGAAUACGUGUAGCAUUACGCUCGAGAUCCAUUAAGAAUAAACCAUUCACCAUCGGAGCAUGACCAUAAAACAUAUCUCUCAUAUAAAUAGAACAACCAUUAUUCUCGGAUUUAAAUGAGUAGCCAUCUCGAAUUAAACGAGAUCCUGAUACAAUGUUCAUGCUCAAAGCUGGCACUAAAUAACAAUUAUUGAGGUUUAAAACUAAUCCCGUAGGUAAAUGUAGAGGUAGCGUGCCGACGGCGAUCACAUCGACCUUGGAACCAUUCCCGACGCGCAUCGUCACCUCGUCCUUCGCCAGUCUCCGCUUAUUCCGCAGCUCCUGCUUUGAGUUACAAAUGUGAGCAACCGCACCGGUAUCAAAUACCCAGGAGCUACUACGAGUACUGGUAAGGUACACAUCAAUUACAUGUAUAUCACAUAUACCUUUCGUGAUGCCGGCCUUCUUGUCCGCUAAGUAUCUGGGGCAGUUCCGCUUCCAGUGACCACUUCCCUUGCAAUAAAAAUACUCAGUCUCGGGCUUGGGUCCAUUCUUUGGCUUCUUCCCGGCAGCUUGCUUACCGGGCGCGGCAACUCCCUUGCCGUCCUUCUUGAAGUUCUUCUUACCCUUGCCUUUCUUGAACUUAGUGGUUUUAUUCACCAUCAACACUUGAUGUUCCUUGUUGACUCCUAUCUCUGCUGAUUUCAGCAUUGCAAAUACUUCAGGAAUGGUCUUUUCCAUCCCCUGCAUAUUGAAGUUCAUCACAAAGCUCUUGUAGCUCGGUGGAAGCGACUGAAGGAUUCUGUCAAUGACCGCGUCAUCCGGGAGAUUAACUCCCAGCUGAGUCAAGCGGUUAUGCAACCCAGACAUUUUAAGUAUGUGCUCGCUGACAGAACUAUUUUCCUCCAUCUUACAGCUGAAGAACUUGUCGGAGACUUCAUAUCUCUCGACCCGGGCAUGAGCUUGAAAAACCAUUUUCAGCUCUUCGAACAUCUCAUAUGCUCCGUGUCUCUCAAAACGCUUUUGGAGCCCCGGCUCUAAGCUGUAAAGCAUGCCGCACUAAACGAGGGAGUAAUCAUUAGCACGUGUCUGCCAAGCGUUCAUAACGUCUUGGUUCUAUGGGACGGGUGCGUCACCUAGCGGUGCUUCUAGGACAUAAUCUUUCUUGGCAGCUAUGAGGAUGAUCCUCAGGUUCCGGACCCAGUCCGUAUAGUUGCUGCCAUCGUCUUUCAGCUUGGUUUUCUCUAGGAACGCGUUGAAGUUGAGGACAACAUGGGCCAUUUGAUCUACAAGACAUAUUGUAAAGAUUUUAGACUAAGUUCAUGAUAAUUAAGUUCAUCUAAUCAAAUUAUUAAAUGAACUCCCACUCAGAUAGACAUCCCUCCAGUCAUCUAAGUAUAACAUGAUCCGAGUUAACUAGGCCGUGGCCGAUCAUCACGUGAGACGGACUAGUCAACAUCGGUGAACAUCUUCAUGUUGAUCGUAUCUUCUAUACGACUCAUGCUCGACCUUUCGGUCUUCUGUGUUCCGAGGCCAUUUCUGUACAUGCUAGGCUCGUCAAGUCAACCUAAGUGUAUUGCGUGUGUAAAUCUGUCUUACACCCGUUGUAUUCGAACGUUAGAAUCUAUCACACCCGAUCAUCACGUGGUGCUUCGAAACAACGAACCUUUGCAACGGUGCACAGUUAGGGGGAACACUUUCUUGAAAUUAUUACGAGGGAUCAUCUUAUUUAAGCUACCGUCAUUCUAAGCAAAUAAGAUGUAAAACAUGAUAAACAUCACAUGCAAUCAAAUAGUGACAUGAUAUGGCCAAUAUCAUUUGCUCCUUUGAUCUCCAUCUUCGGGGCUCCAUGAUCAUCGUUGUCACCGGCAUGACACCAUGAUCUCCAUCAUCAUGAUCUCCAUCAUCGUGUCUUCUUGAAGUUGUCUCGUCAUCUAUUACUUCUACUACUAUGGCUAACGCUUUAGCAAUAAAGUAAAGUAAUUACAUGACGUUUAUGUUGACACGCAGGUCAUAAAUAAAUUAAGACAACUCCUAUGGCUCCUGCCGGUUGUCAUACUCAUCGACAUGCAAGUCGUGAUUCCUAUUACAAGAACAUGAUCAAUCUCAUACAUCACAUAUAUCAUUCAUCAUUCAUCACAACCUUUGGCCAUAUCACAUCACAAAACACUUGCUGCAAAAACAAGUUAGACGUCCUCUAAUUGUUAUUGCAAGUUUUUACGUGGCUGCUAUAGGUUUCUAGCAAGAACGUUUCUUACCUACGCCGAAACCACAAUGUGAAUUGCCAAUUUCUAUUUACCCUUCAUAAGGACCCUGUUCAUCGAAUCCGAUCCGACUAAAGUGGGAGAGGCAGACACCCGUCGGCCACCUUAUGCAACUAGUGCAUGUCAGUCGGUGGAAUCGGUCUCACGUAAGCGUACGUGUAAGGUUGGUCCAGGCCGCUUCAUCCCACGAUGUCGCCGAAUCAAGAUAAGACUAGUGACGGCAAGCAAAUUGACAAUAUCGACGCCCACAACUACUUUGUGUUCUACUCGUGCAUAGUAACUACGCAUAGACCUAGCUCAUGAUGCCACUGUUGGGGAACGUAGCAGAAUUUUAAAAUUUUCUACGCAUCACCAAGAUCAAUCUAUGGAGUCAUCUAGCAAUGAGGGAGAGAGGAGUCCAUCUACAUACCCUUGUAGAUCACGAGCAGAAGCGUUCAAGAGAACGGGGUUGAUGGAGUCGUACUGGAUGUGAUUCAAAUCACCGAUGACCUAGUGCCGAACGGACGGCACCUCCGCGUUCAACACACGCACGGUUGGGAGACAUCUCCUCCUUCUUGAUCCAGCAAGGGGGAGGAGAGGAUGAAGAUCCAGCAGCACGACGACGUGGUGGUGGAAGCAACAGUGAUCUCGGUAGGGCUUCGCCAAGCGCUGGGAGACGGAGGAGUGUCACGGGAGGGAGAGGGAGAGGCCAGGGGCUUGGGUGCGGAGCCCUCCCUCCCCCCCACUAUAUAUAGGGUGCCUAGGGGGGGCGCCGACCCUAGGAGAUCCAAUCUCCUAGGGGGGGCGACGGCCAAGGGGGUGCCUUGCCCCCCAAGGCAAGGGUGGCGCCCCCACCCCUAGGGUUUCUAACCUUGGCGCAGGGGGUGUUGGAAAUAUGCCCUAGAGGCAAUAAUAAAAGUGUUAUUAUUAUAUUUCUUUGUUCAUAAUAAUAGUCUUUUAGUCAUGCUAUAACUGUAUUAUCCGGAAAUCGUAAUACACGUGUGAAUACAUAGACCACAAUAUGUCCCUAGUGAGCCUCUAGUUGACUAGCUCGUUGUGAUCAACAGAUAGUCAUGGUUUCCUGGCUAUGGACAUUGGAUGUCGUUGAUAACGGGAUCACAUCAUUAGGAGAAUGAUGUGAUGGACAAGACCCAAUCCUAAGCCUAGCACAAAGAUCGUGUAGUUCGUAUGCUAAAGCUUUUCUAAUGUCAAGUAUCUUUUCCUUAGACCAUGAGAUUGUGCAACUCCCGGAUACCGUAGGAAUGCUUUGGGUGUACCAAACGUCACAACGUAACUGGGUGGCUAUAAAGGUGCAUUACAGGUAUCUCCGAAAGUGUCUGUUGGGUUGGCACGAAUCGAGACUGGGAUUUGUCACUCCGUGUAAACGGAGAGGUAUCUCUGGGCCCACUCGGUAGGACAUCAUCAUAAUGUACACAAUGUGACCAAGGGGUUGAUCACGGGAUGAUGUGUUGCGGAACGAGUAAAGAGACUUGCCAGUAACGAGAUUGAACAAGGUAUCGGUAUACCGACCAUUGAAUCUCGGGCAGGUAAAAUACCGCUAGACAAAGGGAAUUGUAUACGGGAUCGAUUGAGUCCUUGACAUAGUGGUUCAUCCGAUGAGAUCAUCGUGGAACAUGUGGGAGCCAACAUGGGUAUCCAGAUCCCGCUGUUGGUUAUUGACCGGAGAACGUCUCGGUCAUGUCUACAUGUCUCCCGAACCCGUAUGGUUUACACACUUAAGGUUCGAUGACGCUAGGGUUAUAAAGGAAGCUUGUAUGUGAUUACUGAAUGUUGUUCGGAGUCCCGGAUGAGAUCCCGGACGUCACGAGGAGUUCCGGAAUGGUCCGGAGGUAAAGAUUUAUAUAUGGGAAGUCCUGUUUUGGUUACCGGAAAAGUUUCGGGCGAUAUCGGUAAUGUACCGGGACCACCGGGAGGGUCCCGGGGUCCACCAAGUGGGGCCACCGGCCCCGGAGGCUUGCAUGGGCCUAGAGUGGAAAGGGACCAGCCCCAGAGUGGGCUGGUGCGCCUCCCACCCUUGCCCAAGGCGCAACUAGGAGGGGAGAGGGCAAACCCUAGGGCAGAUGGGCCCUAAGGCCCACCCCAGGCGCGCCUCCCCUCUCUCCCCCUCUUGGCCGCCCCCCCAAGUCCCAUCUAGGGCUGGCCGCACCCCUUGGGGUGGGAAACCCUAAAGGGGGCGCAGCCCCCCCUUCCCCCUAUAUAUAGUUGAGGUUUGGGGCUGCUAAAGAAAUGAGUUCUCUCCCUCUUGGUGCAGCCCUACCUCUCUCCCUACUCCUCCUCUCCCAUGGUGCUUGGCGAAGCCCUGCGGGAUUGCCAUGCUCCUCCACCACCACCACGCUGUUGUGCUGCUGUUGGAUGGAGUCUUCCUCAACCUCUCCCUCUCUCCUUGCUGGAUCAAGGCGUGGGAGACGUCACCGGGCUGUACGUGUGUUGAACGCGGAGGUGCCGUCCGUUCGGCACUAGGAUCUCCGGUAAUCUGGAUCACGACGAGUACGACUCCUUCAACCCCGUUCUCUUGAACGCUUCCGCUUAGCGAUCUACAAGGGUAUGCAGAUGCACUCUCCUUCCCCUCGUUGUUGGUUUCUCCAUAGAUAGAUCUUGGUGACACGUAGGAAAAUUUUGAAUUUCUGCUACGUUACCAACAGUGGCAUCAUGAGCUAGGUCUAUUGCGUAGAUUCUUUGCACGAGUAGAACACAAAUUAGUUGUGGGCGUUGAUGUUGUUCAAUAUGCUUACCGUUACUAGUCCAAUCUUGUUUCGACGGUAUUGUGGGAUGAAGCGGCCUGGACCGACCUUACACGUACUCUUACGUGAGACAGGUUCCACCGAUUGACAUGCACUUGGUGCAUAAGGUGGCUAGCGGGUGCCAGUCUCUCCCACUUUAGUCGGAACGGAUUCGAUGAAAAGGGUCCUUAUGAAGGGUAAAUAGCAAUUGGCAUAUCACGUUGUGGUCUUGCGUAGGUAAGAAACGUUCUUGCUAGAAACCCAUAGCAGCCACGUAAAACAUGCAAACAACAAUUAGAGGACGUCUAACUUGUUUUUGCAUGGUAUGCUAUGUGAUGUGAUAUGGCCAAGAAGAAUGUGAUGAAUGAUAUGUGAUGUAUGAGAUUGAUCAUGUUCUUGUAAUAGGAUUCACGACUUGCAUGUCGAUGAGUAUGACAACCGGCAGGAGCCAUAGGAGUUGUCUUAAUUUAUCGUAUGACCUGCGUGUCAUUGAAGAAUGCCAUGUAAACUACUUUACUUUAUUGCUAAACGCGUUAGUCAUAGAAGUAGAAGUAGUCGUUGGCGUGACAACUUCAUGAAGACACGAUGAUGGAGAUCAUGAUGAUGGAGAGCAUGGUGUCAUGCCAGUGACGAUGAUGAUCAUGGAGCCCCGAAGAUGGAGAUCAAAAGGAGCAAAAUGAUAUUGGCCAUAUCAUGUCACUAUUUGAUUGCAUGUGAUGUUUAUCAUGUUUAUGCAUCUUGUUUACUUAGAACGACGGUAGUAAAUAAGAUGAUCCCUUACAACAAUUUCAAGAAGUGUUCUCCCCUAACUGUGCACCGUUGCUACAGUUCGUCGCUUCUAAGCACCACGUGAUGAUCGGGUGUGAUGGAUUCUUACGUUCACAUACAACGGGUGUAAGACAGAUUUACACACGCGAAAACACUUAGGGUUAACUUGACGAGCCUAGCAUGUACAGACAUGGCCUCGGAACACGGAGGCCGAAAGGUCGAGCAUGAGUCGUAUAGUAGAUACGAUCAACAUGAAGAUGUUCACCGAUGAUGACUAGUCCGUCUCACGUGAUGAUCGGACACGGCCUAGUUGACUCGGAUCAUGUAAUCACUUAGAUGACCAGAGGGAUGUCUAUCUGAGUGGGAGUUCAUAAGAUGAACUUAAUUAUCCUGAACAUAGUCAAAAUAUCUUUGCAAAUUAUGUCGUAAGCUCGCACUUUAGUUCCACUUUUUAGAUAUGUUCCUAGAGAAAAUAUAGUUGAAAGUUGAUAGUAGCAAUUAUGCGGACAGUAGAAAGCUUAUGUCCUUAAUGCACUGCUCAGUGUGCUGAACCCCAAACGUCGUUUGUGGAUGUUUCGAACAUCGAACAUACACGUUUUGAUAACUACGUGAUAGUUCAGUUAAAUGGUUUAAGUAGAGGCACCAAAGACGUUUUCGAAAUGUCGCGGGACAUAUGAGAUGUUUCAAGGGCUGAAAUUGGGAUUUCAGGCUCGUGCCCACGAAGAGGUAUGAGACCUCCGACGAUUUUCUUAGCCUGCAAACUAAGGGAGAAAAGCUCAAUCGUUGAGCUUGUGCUCAGAUUGUCUGAGUGCAACAAUCACUUGAAUCGAGAGGGAGUUGAUCUUCCAGAUGAGAUAGUGAUGUUUCCCCAAAGUCAUUGCCACCAAGCUGCUAGAGCUUCGUGAUGAACUAUAACAUAUCAGGGAUAGAUAUGAUGAUCCUUGAAAUAUUCGCGAUGUUUGACACCGCGAAAGUAGAAAUCAAGAAGGAGCAUCAAUUGUUGAUGGUUGGUGAAACCACUAGUUUCAAGAAGGGCAAGGGAACAAAGGGAUACUUCAUGAAACGGCAAUUCAGCUGCUGCUCUAGUGAAGAAACCCAAGGUUGAACCCAAACCCGAGACUAAGUGCUUCUGUAAUAAAGGGAACAGCCACUGGAGCAGAAUUACCCUAGAUACUUGGUAGAUGAGAAGGCAGGCAAGGUCGAUAGAAGUAUAUUGGAUAUACAUUGUGUUGAUGUGUACUUUACUAGUACUCCUAGUAGCACCAGGGUAUUAGAUACCGGUUCGGUUGCUGAGUGUUAGUAACUUGAAAUAAAAGCUACGGAAUAAACAGAGACUAGCUAAAGGUGAGCUGACGAUAUGUGUUGGAAGUAUUUCCAAUGUUGAUAUGAUCAAGCAUCGCACGCUCCCUCUACCAUCGAGAUUGGUGUUUGCGUUGAGCAUAGACAUGAUUGGAUUAUGACUAUCGCAAUAUGGUUAUUCAUUUAAAGAGAAUAAUGGUUACUCUAUUUAUUUGAAUAAUACCUUCAAUGGUCUUGCACCUAAAAUGAAUGGUUCAUUGAAAUCUCGAUCGUAGUGAUACACAUGUUCAUGCCAAAAGAUAGUAAUGAUAAUACCACCUACUUGUGGCACUGCCAUGUAAGUCAUAAUGGUAUAAAACGCAUGAAGAAGCUCCAUAUUGAUGGAUCUUUGGACUCACUCGUUUUUGAAAAGUUUGAGACAUGCGAACCAUGUCUAUUGGUGUAUACGCAUGAAGAAACUCCAUGCAGAUGGACCGUUUGAACUCACUUGAUUUUGAAUCACUUGAGACAUGCAAAUCAUACCACAUGGGCAAGAUGACUGAAAGCCUCGUUUUAGUAAGACGGAACAAGAUAGCAACUUGUUGGAAGUAACACAUUUUGAUGUGUCCAGUCCAAUGAGUGCUGAGGCAUGCAGUGAAUAUCGUUAUGUUCUUACUUCACAGAUGAUUCGAGUAGAUGUUGAGAAUAUUUACUUGAUGAAACACAAGUCUGAAUUAUUGAAUGGUUCAAGUAAUUUCAGAGUGAAGUAGAAGAUCAUUGUGACAAGAGGAUAAAAUGUCUGUGAUAUGAUCAUAGAGAUGAAUAUCUGAGUUACGAGUUUUGGCACACAAUUAAGACAUUGUGGAAAUUGUUUUACAAUUAAUACCGCCUGGAACACCACAGUGUGAUGGUGUGUCCGAACAUCAUAGUUGCACCCUAUUGGAUAUGGUGGGUACCAUGAUGUCUCUUAUCGAAUUACCACUAUCGUUUAUGGGUUAGGCAUUAGAGAAAACCACAUUCACUUUAAAUAGGGCACCACGUAAUUCCGUCGAGAUGACACCAUAUGAACUAUGGUUUAGAGAAACCUAAGCUGUCAUUUCUUAAAGGUUUGGGGCUGUGACGCUUAUGUGAAAAAAGUUUCAGGUUGAUAAGCUCGAACCCAAAGCGGAUAAAAUGCAUCUUCAUAGGACACCCAAAACAGUUGGGUAUACCUCCUAAUUCAGAUCCGAAAGCAAUAGGGAUUGUUUCUUGAAUCGGGUCCUUUCUCGAGGAAAAGUUUGUCUCGGAAAGUUGAGUGGGAGGAUGGUGGAGACUUGAUAUGGUUAUUGAACCGUCACUACAACUAGUGUGUAGCAGGGCACAGGAAGUUGUUCCUGUGGCACCUACACCAAUUGAAGUAGAAGCUUAUGAUAGUGAUCAUGAAACUUCGGAUCAAGUCACUACCGUACCUCGUAGGGUGACAAGGAUGCGUACUGCUUCAGAGUGGUACAGUAAUCUUGUCUUGAAGGUCAUGUUGCUAGACAACAAUGAACCUAUGAGCUAUGGAGAAGCGAUGGUGGGCCCAAAUUCUGACAAAUGGUUAGAAGCCAUGAAAUCCGAGAUAGGAUCCAUGUAUCAGAACAAAGCAUGGACUUUGGUCGACUUGCCCAAUGAUCGGCAAGCCAUUGAGAUAAAUGGACCUUUAAGAAGAAGACGGACGUGGAUGGUAAUGUCACCAUCUAUGAAGCUCGACUUGUGGCGAAAAGUUUUUCACAAGUUCAAGGAGUUGACUACGAUGAGAUUUUCUCAUCCGUAGCGAUGGUUAAGUCCGUUGGAAUCAUGUUAGCAUUAGCUGCAUUUAUGAAAUCUAGCAGGUGGAUGUCAAAACGAGUUUCCUUACCAAUUUUCGUAAGGAAAGGUUGUAUGUGAUACAAUCAGAAAGGUUUUGUCGAUCCUAAGGAUGCUAAAAGGUAUGCUAGCUCCAGCGAUCCUUCCAUGGACUGGAGUAAGCAUCUCGGAGUUGGAAUGUGCACUUUGAUGAGAUGAUCAAAGAUUUUGGGUUUAUACAAAGUUUAUGAGAAACUUGUAUUUCCAAAGAAGUGAGUGGGAGCACUACAGAAUUUCUGAUGAGUAUAUGUUGUUGACAUAUUGAUGAUCAGAAAUGAUGUAGAAUUUCUGUAAAGCAUAUAUGGUUGUUUGAAAAGUGUUUUUCAAUGGAAAGCCUGGAUUAAGCUACUUGAGCAUUGAGCAUCAAGAUCUAUAAGGAUAGAUCAAAAUGCUUAAUGGUACUUUCAAAUGAGCACAUACCUUGACAUGAUCUUGAAGGUGUUCAAGAUGGACCAGUCAAAGAAGGAGUUCUUGCCUGAGUUGUAAGGUACGAAGUUAAGACUUAAAGCUCGACCUCGGCAGAAAAGAGAGAAAGGACGAAGGUCGUCCCCUAUGCUUUAGACGUAGGCUCUACAGUAUGCUAUGCUGUGUACCGCACCUGAAGUGUGCCUUGCCAUGAGUCAGUCAAGGGGUACAAGAGUGAUCCAAGAAUAGAUCACAGUACAGCGGUCAAAGUUAUCCUUAGUAACUAGUGGACUAAGGAAUUUUCUCGGUUAUGGAGGUGAUAAAGAGUUCGACGUAAAGAGUUACGACGAUGCAAGCUUAACACCUAUCCGGAUAGCUCUGAGUAGAGAUACUGGAUACGUAUAAUGGAGCAACAAUUUAGAAUAGCUCCAAGUAGAACAGUUAUUUGGAAUAGCUCCAAAUAGAGCGUGGUAGCUGCAUCUAGGAGAUGACAUAAAGAUUUGUAAAGCACACACGGAUCUGAAAGGUUCAGACCCAUUGACUAAAACCUCUCUCACAAGCAACAUGAUCAAACCCAGAACUCAUUGAGUGUUAAUCACAUAGUAAUGUGAACUAGAUUAUUGACUCUAGUAAACUCUUUGGAUGUUGGUCACAUGGUGAUGUGACCUGUCAGUGUUAAUCACAUGGUGAUGUGAACUAGAUUAUUGACUCUAGUGCAAGUGGGAGACUGUUGGAAAUAUGCCCUAGAGGCAAUAAUAAAAGUGUUAUUAUUAUAUUUCUUUGUUCAUGAUAAUAGUCUUUUAUUCAUGCUAUAACUGUAUUAUCCGGAAAUCGUAAUACACGUGUGAAUACAUAGACCACAAUAUGUCCCUAGUGAGCCUCUAGUUGACUAGCUCGUUGUGAUCAAUAGAUAGUCAUCGUUUCCUGGCUAUGGACAUUGGAUGUCGUUGAUAACGGGAUCACAUCAUUAGGAGAAUGAUGUGAUGGACAAGACCCAAUCCUAAGCCUAGCACAAAGAUCGUGUAGUUCGUAUGCUAAAGCUUUUCUAAUGUCAAGUAUAUUUUCCUUAGACCAUGAGAUUGUGCAAGUCCCGGAUACCGUAGGAAUGCUUUGGGUGUACCAAACGUCACAACGUAACUGGGUGGCUAUAAAGGUGCAUUACAGGUAUCUCCGAAAGUGUCUGUUGGGUUGGCACGAAUCGAGACUGGGAUUUGUCACUCCGUGUAAACGGAGAGGUAUCUCUGGGCCCACUCGGUAGGACAUCAUCAUAAUGUGCACAAUGUGACCAAGGGGUUGAUCACGGGAUGAUGUGUUGCGGAACGAGUAAAGAGACUUGCCAGUAACGAGAUUGAACAAGGUAUCGGUAUACCGACGAUCGAAUCUCGGGCAGGUAAAAUACAAGGUAUCGGAAUUGUAUACGGGAUCGAUUGAGUCCUUGACAUCGUGGUUCAUCCGAUGAGAUCAUCGUGGAACAUGUGGGAGCCAACAUGGGUAUCCAGAUCCCGCUGUUGGUUAUUGACCGGAGAACGUCUCGGUCAUGUCUACAUGUCUCCCGAACCUGUAGGGUCUACACACUUAAGGUUCGAUGACGCUAGGGUUAUAAAGGAAGCUUGUAUGUGGUUACCGAAUGUUGUUCAGAGUCCCGGAUGAGAUCCCGAAUGUCACGAGGAGUUCCGGAAUGGUCCGGAGGUAAAGAUUUAUAUAUGGGAAGUCCUGUUUUGGUUACCGGAAAAGUUUCGGGCGAUAUCGGUAAUGUACCGGGACCACCGGGAGGGUCCCGGGGGUCCACCAAGUGGGGCCACCGGCCCCGGAGGCUUGCAUGGGCCUAGAGUGGAAAGGGACCAGCCCCAGAGUGGGCUGGUGCGCCUCCCACCCUUGCCCAAGGCGCAACUAGGAGGGGAGAGGGCAAACCCUAGGGCAGAUGGGCCCUAAGGCCCACCCCAGGCGCGCCUCCCCUCUCUCCCCCUCUUGGCCGCCCCCCCAAGUCCCAUCUAGGGCUGGCCGCACCCCUUGGGGUGGGAAACCCUAAAGGGGGCGCAGCCCCCCUUCCCCCUAUAUAUAGUUGAGGUUUGGGGCUGCUAAAGAAAUGAGUUCUCUCCCUCUUGGUGCAGCCCUACCUCUCUCCCUACUCCUCCUCUCCCAUGGUGCUUGGCGAAGCCCUGCGGGAUUGCCACGCUCCUCCUCCACCACCACGCCGUUGUGCUGCUGUUGGAUGGAGUCUUCCUCAACCUCUCCCUCUCUCCUUGCUGGAUCAAGGCGUGGGAGACGUCACCGGGCUGUACGUGUGUUGAACGCGGAGGUGCCGUCCGUUCGGCACUAGGAUCUCUGGUGAUCUGGAUCACGACGAGUACGACUCCUUCAACCCCGUUCUCUUGAACGCUUCCGCUUAGCGAUCUACAAGGGUAUGCAGAUGCACUCUCCUUCCCCUCGUUGCUGGUUUCUCCAUAGAUAGAUCUUGGUGACACGUAGGAAAAUUUUGAAUUUCUGCUACGUUACCAACAGGGGGAGGCCGAAGGGGGUGCACCAGCCCACUAGGGGCUGGUUCCCCUCCCAUUUCAUCCCAUGGGGCCCUCCGGGAUAGGUGGCCCCACCCGGUGGACCCCCGGGACCCUUCCGGUGGUCCCGGUACAAUACCGGUGACCCCGAAACCUUCCCGAUGGCUGAAACUGGACUUCCUAUAUAUAAAUCUUUACCUGCGGACCAUUCGAGAACUCCUUGUGACGUCCGGGAUCUCAUCCGGGACUCCGAACAACUUUCGGGUUACCGUGUGCUAAUAUCUCUACAACCCUAGCGUCAUCGAACCUUAAGUGUGUAGACCCUACGGGUUCGGGAGACAUGCAGACAUGACCGAGAAGCCUCUCCGGUCAAUAACCAACAGCGGGAUCUGGAUACCCAUGUUGGCUCCCACAAGCUCCACGAUGAUCUCAUCGAAUGAACCACGAUGUCGAGGAUUCAAUCAAUCCAUAUACAAUUCCCUUUGUCAAUCGGUACAUUACUUGCCCGAGACUCGAUCGUCGGUAUCCCAAUACCUUGUUCAGUCUCGUUACCGGCAAGUCACUUUACUCGUACCGUAAUGCAUGAUCCCGUGAUCAAUCACUUGAUCACUUUGAGCUCAUUAUGAUGAUGCAUUAUCGAGUGGGCCCAGAGAUACCUCUCCGUCAUACGGAGUGACAAAUCCCAGUCUCGAUUCGUGCCAACCCAACAGAUACUUUCGGAGAUACCUGUAAUGUACUUUUAUAGUCACCCAGUUACGUUGUGACGUUUGGCACACCCAAGGCACUCCUACGGUAUCCGGGAGUUGCACAAUCUCAUGGUCUAAGGAAAUGAUACUUGACAUUCAGAAAAGCUACAGCAAACGAACUACACGAUCUUUGAGCUAAGCUUAGGAUUGGGUCUUGUCCAUCACAUCAUUCUCCUAAUGAUGUGAUCCCGUUAUCAAUGACAUCUAAUGUCCAUAGUCAGGAAACCAUGACUAUCCUUUGAUCAACGAGCUAGUCAACUAGAGGCUCACUAGGGACGUGUUGUGGUCUAUGUAUUCACACAUGUAUUACGAUUUCCGGAUAACACAAUUAUAGCAUGAACAAUAGACAAUUAUCAUGAACAAAGAAAUAUAAUAAUAACCAUUUUAUUAUUGCCUCUAGGGCAUAUUUCCAACAUCUCCUCCUCCCAUUUCUUUCUCUGGAACCCUCUUAUAACCUUCAUAGGUGGUUCAUUUGUUGGGUUGGUUGGGUCAUCAGUUUCUUCCUCGGUGCGUUGGGCGACUGAAAGUGCAAUGGCACUUAAGCUAUAUUUUGGUGUGAUGACAAUGUGGUUAGUGUUGGGAACGUAGCACAAUUUUAAAAUUUUCUACACAUCACCAAGAUCAAUCUAUGGAGUCAUCUAGCAACGAGGGAGAGGGGAGUGCAUCUACAUACCCUUGUAGAUCGCGCGCGGAAGCGUUCAAGAGAACGGGGUUGAUGGAGUCAUACUCGCCGUGAUCCAAAUCACCGAUGACCUAGCGCCGAACGGACGGCACCUCCGCGUUCAACACACGUACGGUUGGGAAGACGUCUUCUCCAACUUGAUCCAGCAAGGGGGGAGGAGAGGUUGAUGGAGAUCCAGCAGCACGACGGCGUGGUGGUGGAAGCAACGACGAUCUCGGCAGGGCUUCGCCAAGCUUAGCGAGAGGAAGAGGUGUCACGGGAGGGAGAGGGAGGCGCCAGGGGCUAGGGUGCGGCUGCCCUCCCUCCCCCCACUAUAUAUAGGACCCCUAGGGGGGCGCCGGCCCUAGGAGAUGGGAUCUCCAAGGGGGCGGCGGCCAAGGGGGGUGGCUUGCCCCCCAAGCCAAGUGGGCGCCCCCCACCCCUAGGGUUUCCAACCCUAGGCGCGGGGGAGGCCCAAGGGGGCGCACCAGCCCACCAGGGGCUGGUUCCCUUCCCACUUCAGCCCAUGGGGCCCUCUGGGAUAGGUGGCCCCACCCGGUGGACCCCUGGGACCCUUCCGGUGGUCCCGGUAAAAUACCGAUUAGCCCCGAAACUUUCCAGAUGGCCGAAACUUGACUUACUAUAUAUAAAUCUUCACCUCCGGACCAUUCUGGAACUCCUCGUGACGUCUGGGAUCUCAUCCGGGACUCCGAACAACUUUCGGGUUACCAUAUACUAAUAUCUCAACAGCCCUAGCGUCAUCGAACCUUAAGUGUGUAGACCCUACGGGUUCGGGAGACACGCAGACAUGACCGAGACGACUCUCCGGUCAAUAACCAACAGCGGGAUCUGGAUACCCAUGUUGGCUCCCACAUGCUCCUCGAGGAUCUCAUCGGAUGAACCAUGAUGUCGAGGAUUCAAUCAAUCCUGUAUACAAUUCCCUUUGUCGAUCGGUACGUUACUUGCCCGAGACUCGAUCGUCGGUAUCCCAAUACCUCGUUCAAUCUCGUUACCGGCAAGUCACUUUACUCGUACCGUAAUGCAUGAUCCCGUGAUCAACCACUUGGUCACAUUGAGCUCAUUAUGAUGAUGCAUUGCCGAGUGGGCCCAGAGAUACCUCUCCGUCAUACAGAGUGACAAAUCCCAGUCUCGAUUCGUGCCAACCCAACAGACACUUUUGGAGAUACCCGUAGUGCACCUUUAUAGUCACCCAGUUACGUUGUGACUUUGGCACACCCAAAGCACUCCUACGGUAUCUGGGAGUUGCACAAUCUCAUGGUCUAAGGAGAUGAUACUUGACAUUCGGAAAAGCUAUAGCAAACGAACUACACGAUCUUUGAGCUAUGCUUAGGAUUGGGUCUUGUCCAUCACAUCAUUCUCCUAAUGAUGUGAUCUCGUUAUCAAUGACAUCUAAUGUCCAUAGUCAGGGAACCAUGACUAUCUUUUGAUCAACAAGCUAGUUAACUAGAGGCUUACUAGGGACGUGAUGUGAUCUAUGUAUUCACACGUGUAUUACGAUUUCCGGAUAACACAAUUAUAGCAUGAACAAUAGACAAUUAUCAUGAACAAGGAAAUAUAAUGAUAACCAUUUUAUUAUUGCCUCUAGGGCAUAUUUCCAAUAGUCUCCCACUUGCACUAGAGUCAAUAAUCUAGUUACAUUGUGAUGAAUCGAACACCCAUAGAGUUCUGGUGUUGAUCAUGUUUUGCUCUAGUUACAUUGUGAUGAAUCGAACACCCAUAGAGUUCCGUAUGUACUUUACAAAUAUCUAUGUCUCCAUUUUGAACACUUUCACGAAUGGAGUUGAAGCGAUGCUUGAUAUGCCUGGUCUUCCUGUGAAACCUGGGCUCCUUGGCAAGGGCAAUAGCUCCAGUGUUGUCACAGAAGAGAGUCAUCGGGCCCGACGCAUUGGGUAUGACUCCUAGGUCCGUAAUGAACUCCUUCACCCAGACUGCUUCCUGUGCUACCUCCGAGGCUGCCAUGUACUCUGCUUCACAUGUAGAUCCUGCCACAACGCUUUGCUUGCAACUGCACCAGCUUACUGCCCCACCAUUCAAAAUACACACGUAUCCGGUUUGUGACUUAGAGUCAUCCAGAUCUGUGUCGAAGCUAGCAUCGACGUAACCCUUUACGACGAGCUCUUCGUCACCUCCAUAAACGAGAAACAUUUCCUUAGUCCUUUUUAGGUACUUCAGGAUAUUCUUGACCGCCUGCCAGUGUUCCAUGCCGGGAUUACUUUGGUACCUUCCUACCAAACUUACGGCAAGGUUCACAUCAGGUCUGGUACACAGCAUAGCAUACAUGAUAGACCCUAUGGCCGAGGCAUAGGGGACGACACUCAUCUUUUCUCUAUCUUCUGCCGUGGUCGGGCAUUGAGUCGUGCUCAAUCUCGUACCUUGCAAUACAGGCAAGAACCCCUUCUUUGACUGAUCCAUAUUGAACUUCUUCAAUAUCUUGUCAAGGUACGUACUCUGUGAAAGAUCAAUGAAGCGUCUCGAUCUAUCUCUAUAGAUCUUGAUGCCUAAUAUGUAAGCAGCUUCUCCAAGAUCCUUCAUUGAAAAACACUUGUUCAAGUAGGCCUUUAUGCUUUCCAAGAAUUCUAUAUCAUUUCCCAUCAAUAGUAUGUCAUCCACAUACAAUACGAGAAAUGCUACAGAGCUCCUACUCACUUUCUUAUAAAUGCAGGCUUCUCCAUAAGUCUGCGUAAACCCAAACACUUUGAUCAUCUCAUCAAAACUAAUGUUCCAACUCCAAGAUGCUUGCACCAGCCCAUAGAUCGAGCGUUGGAGCUUGCACACCUUGUCAGCAUUCUUAGGAUCGACAAAACCUUCCGGCUGCAUCAUAUACAAUUCUUCCUUAAGGAAACCAUUAAGGAAUGCCGUUUUGACGUCCAUUUGCCAUAUCUCAUAAUCAUAGAAUGCGGCAAUUGCUAACAUGAUUCGGGCGGACUUCAGCUUCGCUACGGGUGAGAAAGUCUCAUCGUAGUCAACCCCUUGAACUUGUCGAUAACCCUUAGCGACAAGCCGAGCUUUAUAGAUGGUUACAUUACCAUCCGCGUCUGUCUUAUUCUUAAAGAUCCAUUUAUUUUCUAUGGCUCGCCGAUCAUCAGGCAAGUCAGUCAAAGUCCAUACUUCGUUUUCAUACAUGGAUCCUAUCUCGGAUUUCAUGGAUUCCAGCCAUUUGUCAGAAUCUGGGCCCGCCAUCGCUUCUUCAUAAUUCGAAGGUUCACCAUUGUCUAACAACAUGAUUUUCAAGACAGGGUUGCCAUACCACUCUGGUGCGGAACGUGUCCUUGUGGACCUAUGAAGUUCAGUAGCAACUUGAUCUGAAGUUUCAUGAUCAUCAUCAUUAACUUCCUCUCUAGUCGGUGCAGGCACCUCAGGAACAAUUUCCUGAGUUGUGCCACUCUCCGGUUCAAGAGGCAAUACUUCAUCAAGUUCUACUUUCCUCCCACUUACUUCUUUCAAGAGAAACUCUUUCUCUAGAAAGGAUCCAUUCUUGGCAACAAAGAUCUUGCCUUCGGAUCUGAGGUUGAAGGUAUACCCAAUAGUUUCUUUAGGGUAUCCUAUGAAGACGCAUUUUUUUGAUUUGGGUUCGUGCUUUUCAGGUUAAAGUUUCUUGACAUAAGCAUCGCAUCCCCAAACUUUUAGAAAUGACAGCUUAGGUUUCUUCCCAAACCAUAAUUCAUACGGUGUCGUCUCAACGGAUUUCGACGGAGCCCUAUUUAAAGUGAAUGCGGCAGUCUCUAAAGCAUAGCCCCAAAAUGACAGUGGUAGAUCAGUAAGAGACAUCAUAGAUCGCACCAUAUCCAAUAGAGUGCGAUUAUGACAUUCGGACACACCAUUACGCUGAGGUGUUCCAGGCGGCGUGAGUUGUGAAACUAUUCCACAUUUCCUUAAGUGCGUGCCAAAUUCAUGACUCAAGUAUUCUCCCCCACGAUCUGAUCGCAAGAACUUGAUUUUCCUAUCACGUUGAUUCUCAACCUCACUCUGAAAUUCCUUGAACUUUUCAAAGGUCUCAGACUUGUGUUUCAUUAAGUAGACAUAUCCAUAUCUACUCAAGUCAUCAGUGAGGGUGAGAACAUAACGAUAGCCACCGCGAGCCUCAACGCUCAUUGGACCGCACACAUUAGUAUGUAUGAUUUCCAAUAAGUUGGUUGCUUGCUCCAUUGUUCCUGAGAACGGAGUCUUGGUCAUUUUACCCAUGAGGCAUGGUUCGCACGUGUCAAAUGAUUUGUAAUCAAGAGACUCCAAAAGUCCAUCUGCAUGGAGCUUCUUCAUGCGUUCGACACCUAUGUGACCAAGGCGGCAGUGCCACAAGUAUGUGGGACUAUCAUUAUCAACCUUACAUCUUUUGGUAUUCACACUAUGAAUAUGUGUAACAUUACGCUCGAGAUUCAUUAAGAAUAAACCAUUCACCAGCGGGGCAUGACCAUAAAACAUAUCUCUCAUAUAAAUAGAACAACCAUUAUUCUCGGAUUUAAAUGAGUAGCCAUCUCGAAUUAAACGAGAUCCUGAUACAAUGUUCAUGCUCAAAGCUAGCACUAAAUAACAAUUAUUGAGGUUUAAAACUAAUCCCGUAGGUAAAUGUAGAGAUAGUGUGCCGAUGGCGAUCACAUCGACCUUGGAACCAUUCCCGACGCGCAUCGUCACCUCGUCCUUCGCCAGUCUCCUCUUAUUCCGCAGCUCCUGCUUUGAGUUACAAAUGUGAGCAACCGCACCAAUAUCAAAUACCCAGGAGCUACUACGAGUACUGGUAAGGUACACAUCAAUUACAUGUAUAUCACAUAUACCUUUAGUGUUGCCAUCCUUCUUGUCCGCGAAGUAUUUGGGGCAGUUCCGCUUCCAGUGACCACUUCCCUUGCAAUAAAAACACUCAGUCUCGGCUUGGGUCCAUUCUUUGGCUUCUUCCCGGUAGCUUGCUUACCGGGCGCGGCAACCCCCUUGCUGUCCUUCUUGAAGUUCUUCUUACCCCUGCCUUUCUUAAACUUAGUGGUUUUAUUCACCAUCAACACUUGAUGUUCCUUUUUGAUCUCCACCUCUGCUGAUUUCAGCAUUGAAUAUACUUCAGGAAAGGUCUUUUCCAUCCCCUGCAUAUUGAAGUUCAUCACAAAGCUCUUGUAGCUCGGUGGAAGCGACUGAAGGAUUCUGUCAAUGACCGCAUCGUCCGGGAGAUUAACUCCCAGCUGAGUCAAGUGGUUAUGCAACCCAAACAUUUUGAGUAUGUGCUCACUGACAGAACUAUUUUCCUCCAUCUUACAACUGAAGAACUUGUCGAAGACUUCAUAUCUCUCGACCCGGGCAUGAGCUUGGAAAACCAUUUUCAGCUCUUCGAACAUCUCAUAUGCUCCGUGUUGCUCAAAACGCUUUUGUAGCCCCGGUUCUAAGUUGUAAAGCAUGCCGCACUGAACGAGGGAGUAAUCAUCAGCACGUGACUGCCAAGCGUUCAUAACGUCUUGGUUCUCUGGGAUGGGUGCGUCACCUAGCGGUGCUUCUAGGACAUAAUCUUUCUUGACAGCUAUGAGGAUGAUCCUCAGGUUCCAGACCCAGUCCGUAUAGUUGCUGCUAUCAUCUUUCAGCUUGGUUUUCUUUAGGAACGCGUUGAAGUUGAGGACAACGUGGGCCAUUUGAUCUACAAGACAUAUUGUAAAGAUUUUAGACUAAGUUCAUGAUAAUUAAGUUCAUCUAAUCAAAUUAUUCAAUGAACUCCUACUCAGAUAGACAUCCCUCUAGUCAUCUAAGUGAAACAUGAUCCGAGUCAACUAGGCUGCGCCCGAUCAUCACGUGAGACGGACUAGUCAACAUCGGUGAACAUCUUCAUGUUGAUCGUAUCUUCUAUACGACUCAUGCUCGACCUUUAGGUCUUCCGUGUUCCGAGGCCAUGUCUGUACAUGCUAGGCUCGUCAAGUCAACCUAAGUGUAUUGCAUGUGUAAAUCUGGCUUACACCCGUUGUAUUCGAAUGUUAGAAUCUAUCACACCCGAUCAUCACGUGGUGCUUUGAAACAACGAACCUUCGCAACGGUGCACAGUUAGGGGGAACACUUUCUUGAAAUUAUUACGAGGGGUCAUCUUAUUUAAGCUACCGUCGUUCUAAGCAAAUAAGAUGUAAAACAUGAUAAACAUCACAUGUAAUCAAAUAGUGACAUGAUAUGGCCAAUAUCAUUUGCUCCUUUUGAUCUCCAUCUUCGGGGCUCCAUGAUCAUCGUUGUCACCGGCAUGACACCAUGAUCUCCAUUAUCAUGAUCUUUAUCAUCGUGUCUUCUUGAAGUUGUCUCGUCAUCUAUUACUUCUACUACUAUGGCUAACGCUUUAGCAAUAAAGUAAAGUAAUUACAUGAUGUUUAUGUUGACACGCAGGUCAUAAAUAAAUUAAGACAACUCCUAUGGCUCCUGCCGGUUGUCAUACUCAUCGACAUGCAAGUCGUGAUUCCUAUUACAAGAACAUGAUCAAUCUCAUACAUCACAUAUAUCAUUCAUCACAUCCUUUUGGCCAUAUCACAUCACACGGCACAUGCUGCAAAAACAAGUUAGACGUCCUCUAAUUGUUGUUGCAAGUUUUUACGUGGCUGCUAUAGGUUCUAGCAAGAACGUUUCUUACCUACACCAAAACCACAACAUGAUAUGAUAAUUUCUAUUUACCCUUCAUAAGGACCCUUUUCAUCGAAUCCGAUCCGACUAAAGUGGGAGAGACAGACACCCGCUAGCCACCUUAUGCAACUAGUGCAUGUCAGUCGGUGGAACCAGUCUCACGUAAGCGUACGUGUAAGGUCGGUCUAGGGCGCUUCAUCCCACGAUGCCGCCGAAUUAAGAUAAGACUAGUAACGACAAGUAAAUUGACAAUAUCGACGCCCACAACUGCUUUGUGUUCUACUCGUGCAUAGAAACUACGCAUAGACCUAGCUCAUGAUGCCACUGUUGGGAACGUAGCAGAAUUUUAAAAUUUUCUAUGCAUCACCAAGAUCAAUCUAUGGAGUUAUCUAGCAAUGAGGGAGAGGGGAGUGCAUCUACAUACCCUUGUAGAUCGCGCGCGGAAGCGUUCAAGAGAACGGGGUUGAUAGAGUCGUACUCGUCGUGAUCCAAAUCGCCGAUGACCUAGCGCUGAACGGACAGCACCUCUGCGUUCAACACACGUACGGUUGGGAAGACGUCUCCUCCAACUUGAUCCAGCAAGGGGGAAGGAGAGGUUGAUGGAGAUCCAGCAGCACGAUGGCGUGGUGGUGGAAGCAAUGGCAAUCUCGGCAGGGCUUCACCAAGCUUAGCGAGAGGGAGAGGUGUCACGGGAGGGAGAGGGAGGCGCCAGGGGCUAGGGUGCGGCUGCCCUCCCUCCCCCCACUAUAUAUAGGACCCCUAGGGGGGCGCCGGCCCUAGGAGAUGGGAUAUCCAAGGGGGGCGGCGGCCAAGGGGGGUGGCUUGCCCCCCAAGCCAAGUGGGGCGCCCCCACCCCUAGGGUUUCCAACCCUAGGCGCAGGGGGAGGCCCAAGGGGGUGCACCAGCCCACCAGGGGCUAGUUCCCUUCCCACUUCAGCCCAUGGGGCCCUCCGGGAUAGGUGGCCCCACCCGGUGGACCUCCGGGACCCUUCCGGUGGUCCCGGUAUAAUACCGAUUACCCCCGAAACUUUCCCGAUGGCCGAAACUUGACUUCCUAAAUAUAAAUCUCCACCUACGGACCAUUCUGGAACUCCUCGUGACGUCUGGGAUCUCAUCCGGGACUCCGAACAACUUUCGGGUUACCGUAUACUAAUAUCUCAACAACCCUAGCGUCACCGAACCUUAAGUGUGUAGACCCUACGGGUUCGGGAGACACACAGACAUGACCGAGACGACUCUCCGGUCAAUAACCAACAGCGGGAUCUGGAUACCCAUGUUGGCUCCCACAUGCUCCUCGAUGAUCUCAUCGGAUGAACCACGAUGUCGAGGAUUCAAUCAAUCCCGUAUACAAUUCCCUUUGUCAAUCAGUACGUUACUUGCCCGAGACUCGAUCGUCGGUAUCCCAAUACCUCGUUCAAUCUCGUUACCGGCAAGUCACUUUACUCGUACCGUAAUGCAUGAUCCCGUCAUCAACCACUUGGUCACAUUGAGCUCAUUAUGAUGAUGCAUUACCGAGUGGGCCCAGAGAUACCUCUCCGUCAUACGGAGUGACAAAUCCCAGUCUCGAUUCGUGCCAACCCAACAGACACUUUCGGAGAUACCCAUAGUCCACCUUUAUAGUCACCUAGUUACGUUGUGACUUUGGCACACCCAAAGCACUCCUACGGUAUCCGAGAGUUGCACAAUCUCAUGGUCUAAGGAGAUGAUACUUGACAUUCAGAAAAGUAUAGCAAACGAACUACACGGUCUUUGAGCUAUGCUUAGUAUUGGGUCUUGUCCAUCACAUCAUUCUCCUAAUGAUGUGAUCCCGUUAUCAAUGACAUCUAAUGUCCAUAGUCAGGAAACCAUGACUAUCUUUUGAUCAACGAGCUAGUCAACUAGAGGCUUACUAGGGACGUGUUGUGGUCUAUGUAUUCACACAUGUAUUACGAUUUCCGGAUAACACAAUUAUAGCAUGAACAAUAGACAAUUAUCAUGAACAAGGAAAUAUAAUAAUAACUAUUUUAUUAUUACCUCUAGGGCAUAUUUCUAACAGUUAGUUGAACUAAUAUCGGUUGCUAAAGUUUAUCUCAGGUUGUUGGUUCUAAGCGCCCGCGAUGGAGAUGUGCGACCCCCCAUUUCAAAAAGGACAAAGGCGUGGUCUUUCGACGCUUCGAGGGUUUAUUUUUGGUUUGCUUCAAGUCGUAGGAAAGACCGCACUAUUAAGAGGGGUCUGUGUGGACAAAUGUUGUGUGGGAAUGCCUUUGCCGAGCCUUACUCUCUUACCCUUCCCACUCCAACCACCUCAUAUGUUUCUAGUGUGUGUGCUGUGGUACUCAGAAAGUUGCAACAGUAAGUUACUGGGUACCCCGUGCGCACGGGGUCUUUUGACCCCUGUGCGCACGGGGUACUGGGUAACUCUCUGGGUACCCCGUGCGCACAGGGUCUUUUGACCCCCGUGCGCACGGGGUAUUGUGUAACUCUCUGGGUACCCCGUGCGCACGGGGUCUUUUGACCCUCGUGCGCACGGGGUGGUGCGUUUGUCUCUGGACACCCCGUGCGCACGGGGCUGACUUAGCCCAUGAGCACGGGGUCCAACGGGUAGAAAUGCCCACCCUCACAUAAACACUAUAAAUAGGCCCUUCUUCCUCCUCCAACCUCUAACCCUAAUGUCUUGUUGAGCUCCACCAUUGCUACACCCCAUUUUGCUCAAUACUCUCAAUCCCUCCACCCAAACUUGUUGAAACUUUGGGGAUUGGGAGAGCAAGAACCGAUCUACAACUUGACCAGACCAAAUCGUGUUCCCCCCAACAUUUCUUCCCCAUUGACUUGUUACUCUUGGAGCUUGGGCUCCUAGGCGGUUAGAGGUUCCUCUGGAAGCUUCCUUGCUUGUGGUGUGCACCGGAGAAGUUGUAAAGGUGUGGUGGUCGCCUUCAAGACCAACAUCGAGUGGUUCGAGGCUCAUCCGUUGGGGGUGACUCGAAGGAGAAUACGGUGAGCCUUUGGUGGCAUUCUGCAAGCUUUGGCUCCGGCACCGCUCCAAACGGAGAUUAGCUCUUCCCCAAGGAAGAGUGAACUUUGGGUUAAAAUCCGCGUCCUCGUCUCACUUGUGGUUAAUCCUUUCCGGCACCUUUCUUAGUUGUUGUAUGCUUGUUGGCUUGCUAAGUAGUUUGUUGCCUAGCCUUUCUUCUUGGAGCUUGCUUGUCAUAUAGGUUGCAUUCACCUAGUUGCAUAUAUAGUGAACUCUUUUAUCCGCUAAGCCUUAAAAUCUACAAGAAAGAUUAAAAUUUGUAAUCUCCUAUUCACCCCCCUCUAGUCGACUGUAUUGAUCCUUUCAAUUGGUAUCAGAGCCUCGUGCUCUAAUAUAAGGUUUUACAACCUUAGAGGAUAUGGUUGAUCUAGGGAAUGAGGGAGGUGGCCUACCCGUUGCGGGGGAUGGUCAAAACCAACCCCCCGCCGCGACUGAGACACUUGAUGCUCCGGUCGUUGCUCCUGCCGCUACUACUAACCCGAAUGUCCCCUUGACCGCGGCCGAUCUUCUUUCAAUGUUUGCGGACCUCAAAGUCUCUAUGUUGAAAGAGGUUCGUGCCUCGGUCAAGGAGGAAAUUGAUGCUCGCCUAAAGCCAUCAACGUCCGCAUCAAACUAGUUUAACCCAAAUGAGGUUCAUGAUGCGGAUGACUCGAGGGAACCUCUUGCUUCCCCGGCUCGUACUCAAGUUCCCCAGUACAAUGCCGUGGAAUCUUUUUACUCUCCUCAACCCUUGCAACAUCCCCGCAUUAAUCCUGUUGGGCCUCCGUCUCCUUUGAAAGCUAAUGAGUUUGCUAAGUGGAAGCUAGAUAUGGAGUCUCACAUGCGCAGUGCUUCAACUCAAUUGUGGUGGAUUGUGGUCAAUGGAUUCAACCCCAAGGACCCAAUGAAUCUCACUCCAAGGGAAGCAAUUGACGAUCAACUCAAUGCUACCGCACACAACAUGCUUCGCAAUGCAGUGACUGAAGACUAUAGUGAUUCCAUUGCUCUUCUCAAAAGCGCAAAGGAAAUUUGGGAUUGCCUUGAGGAGGCUCUUGAAGGAGAUGAAGCAAUUUGAAGAUCUUGGUUGGCCUUGCUCAAACAAGAAGUCAAUCUCUUUGUGAGGAAUGAGGGUGAAUCCGCUGAAGAGGUUUACCGAAGGUUGAAGUCCCUUGUGCUCAACUUGAGAACCUUUGGGUGCACUUGGGCAAAUGAUGAAUUGAUCAAGGACAAGUUCAUAGAUGCUAUGGUUCUCACAGAACAUACCAUGGUCAUGAUGGUUCAUCAACGUCCGGACUAUCACAAGUUGACUUCGGCUCAAGUUGUUUCCACUUUCUCUACCCAUGUUCUUUUGGAGACCAAGUCCAAGAAAACAUUUGCAAUAGCUCAAGCAACCAAGAACUCCAAUCUUGCCUUGAAGGCCAAGAAAGUGAUGAGCCAACCCUCAAGGGAGGAAGAAGUUAGUGAAGAGAUAUGUGAGGAGGAUAAUGAUACCUCGUGCCCAGCAAAUGAUUUUGCAGAAGACUUGGCUCUCUUAGUCAAGAAGUACUCUGGGACCAUGGCAAACAAAGGAAUAAAUCUUCAAGGAAGAUCUUUUGGACGAAGGAAAUGCUACAAUUGUGAUAGCCCAAGACACUUUGUUCAUGAUUGUCCUUAUGAGAGACGUGAAGACAAGUCCAAGAAGCUUGUGCUUAAGAAGAAGAAGUUCACCAAGUUUGCAAAGAGGAAGGACGACAAGGCUCUUGUUCAUGAAGAAUACAUGUCUGGAGAUGAAGAUGACGGUGAUGAUGAUCAAGUGGGCACGGCCGCCUUCGCCAUGCAUGCCACUACCUCCACCUCCACCACCAGCCUCUUCGACUCUCCAAACGAGGACAAGCCAUUCACUCAUCGAUGCCUCAUGGCCAAAGAGGUAAAAACAAAGUCCAAACCCAAGAGACCCGACAACUACACUCCCAAUGUCUCAUGUGAGAUAGUGGAGGAUGAGUGUGAUGAGGGUGUGGAUAAUGAUGAGGAAUCCUUAAUGGCUUUCAUGAAAACUCUUCAUGGUGAAGCUCGUGCUCGUUUUGGUGUUCUCCUUAAGUCACUCGCCGAACGCGGUGACUUUAUUGAGAAUGUUGAGAACCUCCUUAUAGAGGAAAAAGAGAGAGUUGAUCUCCUCGAGCACGAACUUAAUGAAGAGAGUGUCAUGAGAGCAUCACUUGAGGAAUCCUUAUAUGCUCAUCAAAUUGACUUUGUUAAAACCAACGAUGCUUUGCAACUUGCUCUUGAGAAUAAAGAUGCUCUUAACGUUAGAGUUGAAAAACUUCUAGUUGACCAUACAAGACUUGUUGAGGAGCAUGAGUUCCUUGUGAUUAGUUCCAAGGUUGUCAAAGGUGACCUCAUUGCUCUCAUCGAGUCUUAUGCUCAAUUAAAAGCUACAACCAUUAAGGCGCUCACUUCCGUACCUCAUAUUGAUUUAAAUGAUGAUGCUUGUACGGCUAACUUUGCUCAUGAUUGCACCUCCCUUCAAGAGGAAAAUAAGAAGUUGAAAGCUCAAAUUGAGAAAGGGCUUGUAUCAUGCAUCCAAGGGGAGAAAAACCUAAACGAUCUCUUGAGCAACCAAAAGGAGUGUGUUGCCAAGGAGGGAGUUGGGUUUAAUCCCGCAUCUAAGAGUGGUAAGAACAACAAGAAGAAGAACAACAAGAAGACCGGUCCGACUCCUUCCCCUCCCCAAAAGGUAGUGUUUGUGCAAGAAUGGCACAAUGAGAAGGAGAAGGAAAUGAAGGGUGUUGGGAAUGGUAAGGUCAUUAGGGACAAGGCUAUUCCCAAGAAUUUUGCCGGCAAGAACAAUCCAUCAUAUGUUCUCAUGAGAGGAGAUGAUGGCUAUACCUUUGCAAAAUUUGUUGGAACUAACUAUGAUGAUUAUGCUUGGACUAUUUGGGUUCCCAAGACCCUUGUUGCUAACUCACCAGGACCCAUUGCAAAAUGGGUACCUAUAACCAAAGCUUGAUUAUUGUAGGACUAUGUCUCCGGUGGAACUCAAUGGGUGAUCGACAGUGGAUGCACCAAUCAUAUUACCGGAGAAAGGGAGAUGCUUGUGGAGUUCGUUGAUUCACUCAAGGCCUCUUCGAACAUCUCCUUCAGUGACAAUAGUAAGGGAAAGGUAUUGGGUUUGGGCAAGGUGGUAAUCUCUGAUGAUUCAUCUCUUUCAAAUGUCAUGCUUGUCCAAUCCCUUCACUACAAUUUAUUUUCAACUAUUCAAUUGGCUCGUGCCGGAUAUGAUUCACAUUUUGGUGAAUUCCAUGUGACCGUCUUUAAGAGGAGCAAUCUCAAAGUGGUCUUUGUUGGGCAUGUUGAAGACAACCUUUACGUGGUUGAUUUCUCGAAAGAGAAAACUCAUCUUGCAACAUGCCUAAUGGCCAAGGCCGACGUGGGGUGGCUUUGGCACUGUAGGCUAGCCCACGUGGGCAUGAGAAAUUUACAAGCUCUCUUAAAGGGGGAGCACAUUCUUGGACUAACCAAUGUGUCUUUUGCCAAAGAUCGUCCUUGUAGUGCUUGCAUUGCCGGAAAGCUUCAUGAAAAAGCUCAUAAAGUGAAGACUAUCAUCACCACCUUGAGGCCCCUCGAGCUUAUCCAUUUGGAUCUAUUUGGGCCUCCAACAUAUGAUAGUUUGGGAGGAAGGAGAUAUUGCCUUGUCAUUGUUGAUGACUUCACAAGAUAUACUUGGGUGUUCUUUCUCAAGACUAAAGAUGAAACUCAAGAAACCUUCAUCAACUUUGCCAAAGAAGCUCAACGUCAACAUAACUGUGAGAUCAAGGCAAUCCGAAGUGACAAUGGCACCGAGUUCAAAAACUAUACAAUGGAUGAAUUCUUGAGUGAAGAGGGGAUAAAGCACCAAUAUGCCGCACCUUAUACUCCCCAACAAAAUGGUGUUGCGGAGAGGAAGAAUCGGACUCUUAUUGAGAUGGCUAGGACCAUGCUUGAUGAGUACAAAUCACCAUACAAGCUUUGGGCAGAAGCCACCAACACUGCGUGCCAUGCCUCAAACCAGCUUUAUCUUCGCAAGCUCAAGAACAAGACCCCUUAUGAGCUCCUAAUUGGGAGAAAGCCCAACGUCAAAUACUUUCGGGUAUUCAGUUGUAAGUGUUUCAUUUUAAACAAAAAAUCCCGGUUAGCUAAAUUUGAGUCUAGAACUUAUGAGGGCAUAUUUGUUGGAUAUGCAUCAAACUCUCAUGCUUACCGAGUUCUCAAUAAAUCCACCGGAUGCAUUGAGGAAACGGUAAAUGUGGAGUUUGAUGAAGAUAACGGCUCCCGCAUGGAGCAAAUUGUUCCUAGUGUUGUAGGUGAUGAGGCUCCUUCACAAGCUAUAAGGACAAUGGGGACAGGCCACAUCUCCCACAAGAAACACCCCAUGUCCAAGUAGAAGAAGAAGGAGUAAGAGCCCCUCUUAAGGAUUUUCCACAAGGGAAGUCAUCACCGACACCACUUGUACAAGAUGCCUUGGGAAGUAAUCAACCUAUCCAAGAACAAGAUCAAAACCCUCAUAUUCCUGAGCAAGAUCAAGAGCAAACUCUUCCGAACAAUGAAGAACCAAUCGUUGAGGCUCAAGAUCAAGCUCAAAGUCAUGAUCAAGAUCUAGAUCAACCCCAACCACAAGUGUCUUCAUCGUCAUCACUUCCUACUGAGCAAGAACCUGUGGUUGCAAAGAGAAGAGUGUCUCCAAGGCUAAAGCAAUCUCAAGGGCAAGCUUCUUCAUCAAGUCCAAAACCAAGUGAAGAAGAGCUUGACUACAAAGAGCAAAAAGUAUCCACCAAGCUAAAACAUCUUCAACACCUCACUGAGAAUAUCUAUGGAAGCAUCAAAAAGGGGGUAACUACUCGUAGACGUUUGGCAAACUUUUGUGAACAUCACUCGUUUGUCUCUUGUGUUGAACCCCUUAAGGUGGAAGAUGCCCUUGACAAUCCGGAUUGGAUAGAUGCCAUGCAUGAAGAACUCAACAACUUCACACGCAACAAAGUGUGGACCCUUGUAGAAAGACCCAAGGAGUUUCAUAAUGUCAUUGGAACAAAGUGGAUUUUCAAGAACAAACAAGAUGAAUAUGGACAAGUAAUAAGGAACAAGGCAAGGUUAGUGGCACAAGGUUUCACCCAAGUUGAAGGUUUGGACUUUGGUGAAACUUUUGCCCCCGUUGCCUGUCUCGAAUCCAUUCGCAUCUUACUUGAUUAUGCCUCUCAUCAUGAUUUAAAAUUAUAUCAAAUGGAUGUUAAGAGUGCAUUCCUUAAUGGUCCUCUUAAGGAGUUGGUGUAUGUCAAGCAACCUCCCGGUUUUGAAGACCCCGAUCAUCCCUCUCACAUUUAUGAACUCCAUAAGGCACUCUAUGGACUCAAACAAACACCUCGUGCUUGGUAUGAUCACCUUACGACGUUCCUAAGCGAGAAGGGGUUCCAGAUUGGGUAAUAGAUUCCACUCUCUUUACGAAGAGGGUAAGAGGAGAGUUGUUUGUCUGCCAAAUAUAUGUUGAUGAUAUUAUCUUUGGGUCAACUAACCAUGCUAUUAACGUUGAGUUUGAGAAUCUUAUGACUAAGGAAUUUGCGAUGAGCAUGAUGGGAGAGUUGAAGUUCUUUCUCGGUUUUCAAGUGAAGCAAUUGAGAGGCGGAACCUUCAUCAAUCAAUCUCGUUAUAUCCAAGACAUGCUCAAGAGAUUCAAAAUGCAAGAUGUCAAGCCAAUGAAGACACCCAUGGCCACAAAUGGUCAACUUCAUCUUGAUCCAAAUGGUAAAAAAGUGGAUCAAAAGGUAUAUCGCUCCAUGAUCGGUUCCUUGCUUUACCUUUGUGCAUCUAGGCCAGAUAUUAUGUUGAGUGUGUGUAUGUGUGCAAGAUUUCAAUCCGCUCCUAAGGAGAGCCAUUAUUCGGCAGUGAAAGGAUCCUUCGAUAUUUGGUUCAUACCCCAAACUUGGGCCUUUGGUAUCCCAAGGGAUCAUCAUUUGAGUUAAUGGGUUACUCGGAUUCGGAUUGGGCCGGAGACAAGGUUGAUCGCAAGUCUACAUCCGGCUCAUGUCAAUUCCUAGGGAGAUCGUUGGUAAGUUGGUCUUCAAAGAAGCAAAAUUGUAUACCUCUCUCCACAGCCGAAGCCGAGUAUAUUGCUGUCGUAAGUUGUUGUGCCCAAUUACUAUGGAUGAGGCAAACUUUGAUGGAUUACACUGUCAAAUGUGACAAAGUGCCUCUUUGGUGUGACAAUGAAAGUGCCAUCAAGAUCGCCGAGAAUCCGGUUCAACAUAGCAAGACCAAGCAUAUUGAGAUUCGUCAUCAUUUCAUUAGAGAUCAUGUGGCCAAGGGAAACAUUGAGUUACUCCAUGUCAACACCGAGAAUCAACUAGCAGACAUUUUCACCAAGCCCCUUGACGAAGCAAGAUUCUGCGAGUUAAGGCAUGAGCUAAAUAUCGUGGAUAUUAGUAACUUCGGAUGAAACUCUUGCUCGCACACACAUACUCAUGUACUAUCUUGCUUAGAUGUAGGCACAUGUCUAGGGGGAGCUAGCUCAACUCAUGAGCUAUCUUAUCCUAGAAGUGCAUAAAACAAACACAAUCUUUCACAUAAGCCACUUUAGGUGGUACUUGUGCUUCAAAGAUGAGUAUUGGUCUUGGGCCCAAGGUUCAUAUCUUCGCGGUGCCAUACCAAGUAAACUCAAACAUGGUGGCCCUGGCCAUCGCCCUCGCUUGAGGGUUUUGUCCGUGUUUGUUUCGUGUGUGUGUGAUGUGGUGUUUCUUUUCUUUUUUCUUAGUUGGUUCUCCUCGCUUCGUUUUGGUACAAGUGCUCCACAUAUACCCUUUCCAUAGUGAUAGGACUUUCCUCGCUGCGUGUUCAGAAACGUAGACCGAGUGCCCUGUGAAGUAGGGGUAAGAGUAUUCACUCAGCCCUACAUUUAAAAGAUCCACUCAUGUCAGGUUCCUGAAUA
rnacentral:lncRNA from 1 species